rnacentral:lncRNA from 1 species
UUUUUUAUUUUUUUUAUUUUGGUGGGCUUCUUUGGCCUCUUUUUUUGAUUUGGGCUUCUUUGGCCUCUUUUAUUUUUCAUAAAGUCCGGAGUCUCAUCCCGACUUAUGGGGGAAUCAUAGUCUUUGUCAUCCUUUCCUCACUGGGACAAUGCUCUAAUAAUGAGGAUCAUCACACUUUUCUUUUUCUUACAACUCAACAAUUACAACUCGAUACUUAGAACAAAAUAUGACUCUAUAUGAAUGCCUCCGGCGGUAUACCGGGAUAUGCAAUGAAUCAAGAGUGACAUGUAUGAAAGAAUUAUGAACGGUGGCUUUGCCACAAAUACAAUGUCAACUACAUGUUCAUGCAGAAAGCAAUAUGACAAAAGUAAUGUGUGUCAUAUGAACGGAACGAUGGAAAGUUGCAUGGCAAUAUAUCUCGGAAUGGCUAUGGAAAUGCCAUGAUAGGUAGGUAUGGUGGCUGUUUUGAGGAAGGUAUAUGGUGGGUGUAUGAUACCGGCGAAAAGUGCACGGUAUUAGAGAGGCUAGCAAUGGUGGAAGGGCGAGAGUGCGUAUAAUCCAUGGACUCAACAUUAAUCAAAAGAACUCAUGCACUUGUUACAAAAAUUUAGAAGUCAUCAAAAACCAAAGCAUUAAAUGCAUACUCCUAGGGGGAUAGAUUGGUAGGAAAAGACCAUCGCUCGUCCCCGACUGCCACUCAUAAGGAAGACAAUCAAUAAAUAAAAUUGUGCUCCGACUUCAUCACAAAGCGGUUGACCAUACGUGCAUGCUACGGGAAUCACAAACUUCAACACCAACAUUCUUUAAAUUCAUAAUCACCCCAACUAGCAUUGCUUUGAUAUUAUCACCUCCAUAUCUCAAAACAAUUAUCAAGCAUCGAACUUAUCUUAGUAUUCAACACACUCAAAAGAAAGUUUCACAUAUCUUGAAUACCAGGUACAUUAACAUUAAGCAAAUUACCAUGCUAUUAAUGACUCUCAAAAUAAUCUAAGUGAAGCAUGAGAGAUCAAUAGUUUCUUUAAAACAAAUCCACCACCGUGCUCUAAAAGAUCUAAGUGAAGCACUAGAGCAAAAAUUAUCACGCUCAAAAAGGUAUAAGUGAAGCACUAUGAGCAAAACUAUCAAGCUCAAAAGAUAUAAGUGAAGCGCAUAGAGUAUUCUAGCAAAUUCCAGAUCAUGUAUGGCUCUCUCAUUAAAGAAUUUCAGAUCUUGGUACUUUAUUCAAACAGCAAGCAAAGCUAAAGAAAACUACAAUGCAAGGAUAGCACAACUCAUGUGAAGAAGCAAAAACUUAGGGUCAACCGAUACUAACCGAUAGUUGAAGAAGAAAGGUGGGAUGCCUACCGGGGCAUCCCCAAGCUUAGAUGAUCUUGGGGUGCCUUGGGCAUCCCCAAGCUUGAGCUUUUGUGUCCCCUUAAUUCCUUUCAUGUCACGGUUUCUCUUUUUAUCAAAAGCUUUAUUCACAACAAACUCAACAAGAACUCGUGAGAUAGGUUAGUAUAAACCAAUGCAAAACCAUGUCAUCUUCUACUGUAACAAAUCACUAACAUUAUUAUUCAACAUUGAAUACUAAAUGUCUCUGCAUAUUUAAUACUCCUAUCCUCAAAUAGAAUCAUUAAACAAGCAAACAUACGCAAACAAUGCAAACAUAACAGCAAUCUGCCAAAACAGUACAGUUUGUAAAGAAUGCAAGAGUAUCGAUACUUCCCUGACUCCAAAAAUUAUGAACUAAAGAUCCCACCGUAAUAAAUUUAUCAGAGCUUAAUAUGCAAAAAGAUUCAACGUUAUACCAUUCUCUAACUUUUCUAGGGAAUUUUUGCAACAGCGGUAAACUUUCUGUUUUCAAACAGCAACAUGUAUACUAGCAAAAUAAGCAUGGCAAAGGCUAUCCUUGACUUUUUUAUCGAAACUAAAGAUGAAAAACAUUAAUAUAACUAACAUCAAGCAAAAACUAGCAAAAUAAAAUGACGCUCCAAGGAAAACACAUAUCAUGUGGCGAAUAAAAAUAUAGCUCCAAGUAAGGUUACCGAUAGACAAAGAUGAAAGAGGGGAUGCCUUCCGGGGCAUCCCCAAGCUUAGGCUCUUGGUUGUCCUUGAAUAUUACCUUGGGGUGCCUUGGGCAUCCCCAAUAUUAGGCUCUUUCCACUCCUUAUUCCAUAGUCCAUCGAAUCUUUACUCAAAACUUGAAAACUUCAACCACACAAAACUCAAAACAAAACUCGUAAGCUCCGUUAGUAUAAGGAAAUAAGACCACCACUUAGGUACUGUAAUGAACUCAUUCUAAAUUCAUAUUGGUGUAAUAUCUACUUUAUUCUAACAUCUAUAUGGUUCAUACCACUUAAUACUAGCCAUAGAUGCAUCAAAAUAAGCAAACAACACAAUGAAAACAGAAUCUGUCAAAAACAGAAUAGUCUGUAGUAAUAUGUAUCAAACGUAUACCUCUGGAAACCCAAAAAUUAUGAAAUAAAUUUCUGGACCUGAUUAAUGUGUCUAUUAAUCAUCUGCAAAAAGAAUCAACCUAAAAGCACUCUCCAGUAAAAAAUGGCAGCCAUUCUCGUGAGCGCAAAAGUUUCUGUUUUCUACAGCAAGAUCAUAUAAAUUUCACCCAAGUCUUCCCAAAGGUUCUACUUGGCACUUUAUUGAAACAAAAGAUAUAAAACAUGAUUACUACAGUAGCAUAAUCAUGUGGACACACAAAAACAGUAGGGAUACAUAUUGGGUUGUCUCCCAACAAGCGCUUUUUUUAAUGCCUUUCUAGCUAGGCAUGAUGAUGACAAUGAUGCUCACAUAAAAGAUAAGAAUUGAAACAUAACGGGAGCAUCAUGAAGCAUAUGACUAGCACAUUUUAAGUCUAACCCACUUCCUAUGCAUAGGGAUUUUGUGAACAAACAACUUAUGGGAACAAUAAUCAACUAGCAUAGGAAGGUAACACAAGCAUAACUUCAAGAUUUUAAGCACAUAGAGAGGAAACUUGACAUUAUUGCAAUUCCUACAAGCAUAUGUUCCUCCCUCAUAAUAAUUUUUAGUAGCAUCAUGAAUGAAUUCAACAAUAUAACCAGCACCUAAAGCAUUCUUUUCAUGAUCUACAAGCAUAGAAAAUUUACUAUUCUCAAUAUAAGCAAAUUUCUUCUCAUGAAUAGUAGUGGGAGCAAACUCAACAAAAUAACUAUCAUGUGAUUGAAAAUUAAGAUCAAGAUGACACGUUUCAUGAUUAUCAUUAUUCUUUAAAGCAUACGUGUCAUCACAAUAAUCAUCAUAGAUAGGAGGCAUGCUUUCAUCAUAGUAAAUUUGCUCAUCAAAGCUUUGGGGACAAAAAAUAUCAUCUCCGUCAAACAUAGCUUCCCCAAGCUUGUGGCUUUGCAUAUCAUUAGCAUCAUGGAUAUUCAAGGAAUUCAUACUAAUAACAUUGAAAUCAUGCUCAUCAUUCACAUAUUUCAUGCCAAGUAUUCUAUGUAGUUCUUCUUCUAGCACUUGAGCACAAUUUUCCUUUCCAUCAUACUCACGAAAGAUAUUAAAAAGACAAAGCGUAUGAGACAAACUUAACUCCAUUUUUUUGUAGUUUUCUUUUAUAAACUAAACUAGUGAUAAAACAAGAAACAAAAAGAUUCGAUUGCAAGAUCUAAAGAUAUACCUUCAAGCGCUAACCUCACCGGCAACGGCGCCAGAAAAGAGCUUAGUUGACGGGGUGUGAGUGAGCGCCCUUUACCUAGCCUCCCCGGCAACUGCGCCAGAAAAGAGCUUGAUGUCUACUACACAACCUUCUUCUUGUAGAUGUUGUUGGGCCUGCAAGUGCACAGGUUUGUAGGACAGUAGCAAAUUUCCCUCAAGUGGAUGACCUAAGGUUUAUCAAUCCAUAGGAGGCGUAGGAUGAAGAUGGUCUCUCUCAAACUACCCUACAACCAAAUAACAAAGAGUCUCUUGUGUCCCCAACACACCCAAUACAAUGGUAAAUUGUAUAGGUGCACUAGUUCGGCGAAGAGAUGAAGAUACAAGUGCAAAAUAGAUAGUAGAUAUAGGUUUUUGUAAUCUGAAAUUAUAAAAACAGCAAGGUAGCGAGCGGUAAAAGUGAGCGUAAACGGUAUUGCAAUGAUAGGAAACAAGGCCUAGGGUUCAUACUUUCACUAGUGCAAGUUCUCUCAAAAAUAAUAACAUAGAUAGAUCAUAUAACCAGCCAUCAACAUGCAACAAAGAGUCACUCCAAAGUCACUAAUAGCGGAGAACAAACAUAGAGAUUAUGGUAGGGUACGAAACCACCUCAAAGUUAUUCUUUCGGAUCGAUCUAUAAAAGAGUUCGUACUAGAAUAACACCUUAAGACACAAAUCAACCAAAACCCUAAUGUCACCUAGAUACUCCAUUGUCACCUCAAGUAUCCGUGGGCAUGAUUAUAUGAUAUGCAUCACACAAUCUCAUAUUCAUCCAACCAACAUAAAAGUACUUCAAAGAGUGCCCCAAAGCUACUACUGGAGAGUCAAGAACGUGUGCCAACCCAUAUGCAUAGGUUCCCAAUGUCACGAAACCCGCAAGUUGAUCACCAAAACAUACAUCAAGUGGCACAUGAUAUCCCAUUGUCACCACAGAUAAUCACGGCAAGACAUACAUCAAGUGUUCUCAUAAAGACUCAAUCCGAUAAGAUAACUUCAAAGGGGAAACUCAAUUCAUCACAAGAGAGUAGAGGGGGAGAAACAUCAUAAGAUCCAACUACAAUAGCAAAGCUCGGGAUACAUCAAGAUCGUGCCAUAGAGGGAACACGAGACAGAACACGAGAGAGAGAGAGAGAGAUCAAACACACAGCUACUGGUACAUACCCUCAGCCCCGAGGGUGAACUACUCCCUCCUCGUCAUGGAUAGCACCGGGAUGAUGAAGAUGGCCUCCGGUGAUGGGAUCCCCCUCCGGCAGGGUGCCGGAACAGGGUCCCGAUUGGUUUUUGGUGGCUACAGAGGCUUGCGGCGGCGGAACUCCCGAUCUAGGUUCUGUUCUGGAAGUUUUACGAUACGUAGGUAUAUAUGGGUGCAGGGGGUACGUCGGAGGAGCUACGGGGGCCCCACGAGGCGGGGGGCGCGCCCCCCACCCUCGUGGGCAGCCCGUAUCUCCCCUGCCAUGCACUCCAAGUUCCCUGGGUUGCUUUCCUUCCAAAAAUAAGUUCUCCAGUUGAUUUCGUUCCGUUUUGACUUCGCCUGAUAUUCCUUUUCCUCGAAACACUGAAAUAGGCAUAAAACAGCAAAUCUGGGUUGGGCCUCCGGUUAAUAGGUUAGUCCCAAAAAUAAUAUAAAAGUGGAUAAUAAAGCCCAGUAUUGCCUAAAACAGUAGAUAAAGUAGCAUGGAGCAAUCAAAAAUUAUAGAUACGUUGGAGACGUACCACAUUGCCCUUUUAUUUAUUUAUUUAUUUUCUUUUUUUCUUUUUCUUUUUCUUUUUCUUUUUUUUCUCUUUUUUUCUUUUGGCCUUUUUUUGCCUUUCUUUUUUUUCUUUUUAGGCAAUGCUCUAAUAAUGAUGAUCAUCACACUUUUAUUGAUUACAACACAUGUAUUACAGCUCGAAACUAGAACAAGAUAUGACUCUAUAUGAAUGCCUCCGGCGGUGUGCCGGGAUAGUGCAAUGAAUCAAGUGUGACAUGUAUAAAAAUUAUGCAUGGUGGCUUUGCCACAAAUACGAUGUCAACUACAUGAUCAUGCUAUGGCAAUAUGACAAAAGUAAUGUAUGUCAUGAUGAUGAUGAACGGAAUGGUGGAAAGUUGCAUGGCAAUAUAUCUCGGAAUGGCUAUGGAAAUGCCAUAAAUAGGUAGGUAUGGUGGCUAUUUUGAGGAAGAUAUAAGGAGGUUUAUGUGUGAUAGAGCGUAUCAUAUCACGGGGUUUGGAUGCACCGGCGAAGUUUGCACCAACUCUCAAGGUGAGAAAGGGCAAUGCACGGUACCGAUGAGGCUAGCAAUGAUGGAAAGGAAAAAGUGCGUAUAAUCCAUGGACUCAACAUUAGUCAUAAGAACUCAUAUACUUAUUGCAAAAAUUUAGAAGUCAUCAAAAACCAAGCACUACGCGCAUGAUCCCAGGGGGAUAGAUUGGUAGGAAAAGACCAUCGCUCGUCCCCGACCGCCACUCAUAAGGAUGCACAAGCCAAGUACACUUCAUGCUUCAAAUUUGUUACACAAGUUUAACCAUACGUGCAUGCUACGGGACUUGCUAACUUCAACACAAGCAUUCUUUAAAUUCAUAAUCACCCAAGUAGCAUGACUUUAAUAUCACUAUCUCCCUAUCUCAAAACAAUCAUCAAGUAUCAAGUUGAUCAUAGCAUCCAAUUCACUUCCUAUGAUAGUUUUUAUUAUACCCAACUUGGAUGCUCAUCAUUCUAGGACCAAUUUAUAACCAUAGCAAAUACCAUGAUGUUCUAAAAUACUCUCAAAAUAAUAUAAGUGAAGCAUGAGAGAUCAACAAAUUUCUUCAAAAUUAAUCCACCACCGCGUUCUAAAAUAUAUAAGUGAAGCACUAGAGCAAAAACUAUCUAGCUCAAAAGAUAUAAGUGAAGCACAUAGAGUAUUCUAAUAAAUUUCAAUCAAAGAGGCUUCUCCCAAAAGGUGUGUUACAUCAAGGAUGGUUGUGGUAAACUAACAAGGAAAGACUAAUAUAAUACACGACGCUCCAAGCAAAGCACAUAUCAUGUAGCAAAUAAAAGUAUAGCUUCAAGUAAAGUUACCAAUGAACGAAGACGAAAGAGGGGAUGCCUUAAGGGGCAUCCCCAAGCUUAGGCUUUUGGCUAUUCUUGAAUAUCUUGGGGUGCCUUGGGCAUCCCCAAGCUUAGGAUUUUGCCACCCUUUAUUCCAUAGCCCAUCGAAUCUUUACCCAAAACUUGAAAACUUCACAACACAAAACUCAACAGGAAAUCUCAUAAGCUCCAUUAGUGAAAGAAAACAAAAUCACCACAUAAGGUACUGUAAUGAACUCAUUAUUUAUUUAUAUUGGUGUUAAACCUACUGUAUUCCAAGUUCUCUAUGGUUCAUACCCUUACAUACUAGCCAUAGAUGCAUCAAAAUAAGCAAACAACACACGAAAAACAGAAUCUGUCAAAAACAAAACAGUAUGUAGCAAUCUGUAGCUAAUGCAAACUUAUGAAACCUCAAAAAUCCUACCAAAAUAGGCCGUCCUAAAAAAUUUGUUUAUUGAACAGCAGAAAAAAUAAUCAAUGCAAAAUCUCUUUCCUGUGAUGUAUUGGUUUUUUUCUCGUGAGCGCAAAGUUUCUGUUUUUCAGCAGAAUCAAAUCAACUCAUAUUAUAGGUUAUCCUAUAGGUUCUACUUGGCACAAACACUAAAUAAAACAUGAAAAUACAUCUAAACAGAAAGUAGAAACGAAAAUUAUUACUAAACAGGAACAAAAACAAGAAACAUAAAGAAAAUUGGGUUGCCUCCCAACUAGCACUAUCGUUUAACGCCCCUAGCUAGGCAUAAAAGCGAAGAUAGAUCUAAGUAGUGCCAUCUUUGGCACUUGGUUCAUAGGUAGCGCAAUUGUAAUCUUUAGGGGUUUCUCCCUUUUUAGUAAUGAUAAAACAUUUAGGCAAAAAUUCAAGAACUUCGUUUGUAGCAAAAGGUUUCUUAACGAUACAGAGACAAUUGGGAUGAACACUCAUGGAUUUGAGAUCUGCAUCUCCCUUACUAGAAGAUUCACCUUUAUUUUUAGGAACAUAAAUAAACUUGGCAGUUUUGGUAGGGGGUUUUGGAGUGUUUUCAUGGGAGAAAACGCAGAACCUAAGUUAGUAAUGAUAUCCUCAAGUUUACCAAUUCUUGCAGAAUCUAAAUCUAUUUUUUCAUUAACUAUAGGUUCUUUCUCUUUAGGAUUUUUCAAAGUAACUCCAACCCUAGAUCCGUAUUGGAUCAUUUAAUUAUGAAUAUUUUUAUCCAAGUUUUCAAUUAACUCAAUAGUGGCAAUUUUAUUUUCAAUGAUCUCAAGUCGUUGCAUAACAUGUUUCAAAGUUAAAACAGAUCCAUUAACCAAAAGAGGUGGUUGGCCAAAUAAAUCUAUCAUAGUAUUAUAAGCUUCAAACGUAUGGCUAUUCAAGAAAUCCCCUCCGGCAACGAUAUCAAGAACACAUCUAUUCCAAGGAGUAACACCCACAUAAAAAUUGCGAAGAAGAACGGAAGUAGAAAGCUUCCUAGUAGAUUUAUUUUGAGCAUUGCAAAUUCUAUGACAAGCAUCUUUUAAAUUCUCUCCCUCCAUUUGCUUAAAAUUGAGAAUUUCAUGUUCGGGAGUAAUAACAAGGAUAGGAGAACUAGCCAUAACGACAAGGUGAACGAUCUAACACACGAGCAAAUGGAAAAAGCAAGCGAAAGAGAGGAGGAUAUUGGGAAAGAGAGGGCGAAUAAAACGACAAGGGUGAAGUGGGGGAGAGGGAAACGAGAGGCAAAUGGCAAAUAAUGUAAAUGCGAGGGAGGUGAGUUUGUGAUGGGUACUUGGUAUGUCUUGACUUGAGCGAAGACCUCCCCGGCAACGGAGCCAGAAAUCCUUCUUGCUACGUCUUGAGCUUGCGUUGGUUUUCCUUGAAGAGGAAAGGGUGAUGCGGCACAGUAGCGUAAGUAUUUCCCUCAGUUUUUGAGAACCAAGGUAUCAAUCCAGUAGGAGGCUCCUCAACAAGUCCCACGAACCUACACAAACAAACAAAGAACUCGCAACCAACGUGAUAAAGGGGUUGUCAAUCCCUUCAUGGCCACUUGCGAAAGUGAGAUCUGAUAGAGAUAAUAUGAUAAGAUAAAUAUAUUUUUGGUAUUUUAUAAUAUAGAUGCAGAAAAUAAAGAUGCAAAUAAAAGUAGAUUGGAAGCAAAUAUGAUACGAGAUAGACCCGGGGGCAUAGGUUUCACUAGAGGCUUCUCUCAAGAGCAUAAGUAUUACGGUGGGUGAACAAAUUACUGUUGAGCAAUUGAUAGAAAAGCGAAUAAUUAUGACAUUAUCUAGGCAUGAUCAUGUAUAUAGGCAUCACAUCCGCAACAAGUAGACCGACUCCUGCCUGCAUCUACUACUAUUACUCCACACAUUGACCGCUAUCCAGCAUGCAUCUAGAGUAUUAAGUUCAUAAGAACAGAGUAACGCUUUAAGCAAGAUGACAUGAUGUAGAGGGAUACACUCAAGCAAUAUGAUAUAAACCCCAUCUUUUUAUCCUCUAUGGCAACAAUACAAUACGUGUCUUGCAACCCUUUCUGUCACAGGGUAAGAACACCGCAAGAUUGAACCCAAAGCUAAGCACUUCCCCCAUGGCAAGAAAGAUCAAUCUACUAGGCCAAACCAAACCGAUAAUUUGAAGAGACUUGCAAAGAUAACUCGAUCAUAUAAAAGAAUUCAGAGAAGAUUCAAUUAUUAUCCAUAGAUAAACUUGAUCAUAAACCCACAAUUCAUCGGAUCUCGACAAACACACCACAAAAAGAGAUUACAUCGAAUAGAUCUCCACAAGAGAGGGGGAGAACAUUGUAUUGAGAUCCAAAAAAGAGAGAAGAAGCCAACUAGCUAAUAACUAUGGACCCGAAGGUAUGUAGUAAACUACUCAAAACUCAUCGGAGGGGCCAUAAUGUUGAUGUAGAAGCCCUCCAUGGUGGAUCCCCCCUCCGACAGAAUGCCAGCGACGGCUCCGAGAUGGGAUCUCGCUGAUACAGAAGGUUACGGCGGUGGAAAUUGUGUUUCGGUUGCUCCCUGGAUGUUUUUGGGGUAUGUAGGCUUAUAUAGGAGGAAGAAGUACGUCGGUGGCCGCUCGAGGGGCCCACGAGACAGGUGGCGCGCCCUACAGGGGGGAGCGCCCUACCCUCUCGUGGUCGCCUCAGCUGCUUCUUGACUUGCACUCCAAGUCCUCUGGAUCACGUUCGUUCCAAAAAUCACGAUUCGAAGGUUUUAUUCCGUUUGGACUCCGUUUGAUAUUCCUUUCCUUCGAAAUACUGAAAUAGAAAAAAAAAUAGCAAUACGGGUUGGGCCUCCGGUUAGUAGGUUAGUCCCAAAAAUGAUAAUAAUGUAUAAAAUAAAGCCCAUAAACAUCUUAAACAGGUAAUAUAAUAGCAUGGAACAAUCAAAAAAUAUAGAUAUGUUGGAGAUGUUUCAGCGGUCCAUAAAGAAAAGAGGCAAUUGCUGGAAUACCCAGCUGCCUCAAUCCACCCAGAUGUGUAUUAAAGUUGCCACCUUAAAUAAACCAUUAAAUAAAAAUCUCACAUCUGUCAUGGAUACACUCACCCAAUCCUUGUCUACUAGCAUACCAUAGCAUAUUUAAGCAAACGUUGAAGUAACUCCCAAGGGUUUGAUAAUAAAACAGGUAAUAGGCACUGCCUCAUCUACAUCCCAAAACCCACAUAUUAAUCAGAUCAUAACUACGCAAUUGUUUGAGGAUUGAUCUAAUGCAAUAAAACUGGGUAGUAAAGAGGUAUGAUCAAAGUGUUACUUGCCUUGCUGAUGAUCCGUGAAACCUAGGGAUUUGAAGUAGCAAGCGGCGCACUCCGGAUACUCUAUUGCAAACAAACAAGCAUACAAUAAAUACUCAUCUAAUGCACGGGUAAAACCCAAAUAAGAGAUCUAACCAGAAAGUUCAACUUAAGAACUCCGGUUUGCAAAAAGAAUCAAAUCAAACGAGGCAACAAAACUCAAAUGGCAAAAGAAACAAGCUUCAUUUACUAAUCUGGACCUAAGUCAAAGUUUUACAGUAGCAAAACUUGUUUGACUUGGCUAAACGGAAAGAGGGUUUCGAGACGAAACUCUAGGCACUUGAAUCGCGAGAUUCCGAUAAAUGAGCGAAAAGAAAAACUAAAACGAAAAUCGGAUCAGAAAUCAUGAUCUGGAAUAAUCGCGGAAAAUCCGAGAAAAAGAAAAACCGACGAACAGGCUAACGAUCGAUCGUUCGUUGUCUGCGGCUAAACGACGAAAACCGUUCGUUAAAACGAACGUACGGACGAACGUCCGUUAAAUAGAUAAAUCAAGAAAACCGGUCAACCGAUCUAACAAAACGAACUAGGGUUUCUCAAAAAAAACAAAAUUGGUUUUAAAAAAACGGCGGUGGUGAACGGCGGCUACCUCGUCGGGUCCGGCGGAGCUCGGGGCUUCGGCAGGGCGGCGCAGGUGGCGUGGGGCGGCGGCGGGCUCCCGACGGUGGCGGGCUUCGGCGGUUGCGACUCCCGGCGGCGGCGGCUUCGGCGGCGGGGCGGGGUGAGGCGGCGGGGUUGGGGGGUAUUUAAGAGGGGGAGGGGGUGGCUUGGGGCAGGAGAAGGCGGCGGGAAGGAGGAGUCCGGGUCGGACUCCGGUCCGAGUCGGCGGCGGCGGCGCGCGGUCUCCCGGAGGGAGACGGCGACGCGGGGGACGUGGGCCGGCUCGGCUGGGCCUCGGCCCAAUCGGGCGCUGGAAGUUUUUUUUAAACAAUUCCGCCAAAAUUAAGAAAAAUUCUAGAAAAUAAAAUAAAAUUCUAAAAAUUCCAAAAUAAAUUUUCACCGUCUAAAUAAAAUAGUUAGGACGAGAUGGACAUUUUGUUGGCCCUAAAAUGCAGUUUUGAAAAACCUGCAAUUUUCCUAAAUUCAAAUAAAAUAGCCAAAAACUCCGAAAUAAAAUCUUAUUUGAUUUUUUUAUUAAAUCCUCAAUAUUUCUUUAUUUUGGUAAAGUCAUUUUAUUCCCUCUCUCAUAUUUUUAUAAUAGAAAUAAUUGAACAUAAAAUAAAUAAAAUCAAAUGAUCCUUUUUCCAAAAUUUGAGAAAACUCAAAUAUGAAAAUAACGAAAUUCCCAACUCUCUCCGAGGGUCCUUGAGUUGCGUAAAAUUUCUAGGAUCAAGCCAAAAGCAAUAAAAUAUGAUAUGCAAUGAUGAUCUAAUGUAUAACAUUCCAAAUUGAAAGUUUGGGAUGUUACAAACCUACCCCCCUUAAGAUGAAUCUCGUCCUCGAGAUUCGGGUUGGCUAGAAAAUAGGUGAGGGUGGUCCUUCAGGAGAUCUUCCUCUCUCUCCCAGGUGGCUUCAUCAUUGGUGUGGUGGAUCCACUAAACUUUGCAAAACUUGAUAACCAUGUUGCGGGUGACUCGGCUGGCAUAUUCGAGAAUCUUGACUGGUUUCUCCUCACAGGUCAAAUCACUGUCCAGCUGAAUCGCAUCUAAUGGCAUUGUAUCUCUCAGCGGUAUACCAGCCAUCUCUGCGUGGCACUUUUUCAACUGGGAAACGUGAAAGACAUCAUGAACUCCUGACAAUCCUUCGGGCAAUUCCAACUUGUAAGCAACUUCUCCCAUGCGCUCCAAAACUUUGUAUGGUCCCACCAAAUGUGGCGCUAAUUUUCCCUUAACUCUAAAGCGCUUAACUCCUCGAAGUGGAGAUACACGAAGAUAAACUAUGUCUCCGACUUCGUAAGUUGUCUCCUUGCGUUUUGAAUCUGCAUAGCUCUUCUCCCUGGACUGGGCUACCUUGAGCCUAUCGCGAAUCAACUUCACCUUCUGUUCAGACUCUUUAAUCAAAUCUGGUCCAAACAACUGGCGGUCUCCAACUUCAUCCCACAACAAUGGGGUUCUGCACCUCCUUCCGUACAAGGCUUCGAAAGGGGCCAUCUUCAAACUGGAUUGAUAAAUGUUGUUGUAAGAGAACUCUGCAUAUGGCAAAUUGUCAUACCAACUAGAUCCAUAAUAUAGCGCACAAGCUCUCAGCAUAUCCUCCAAAAUCUGAUUGACUCUCUCGGUCUGUCCAUCUCUCUGUGGAUGAAAGGUUGUACUGAACUCUAGUCUAGUACCCAAGGUUUCGUGCAACUAAUUCCAGAACUUUGAGGUAAACUGGGUUCCUAUGUCUGAUACAAUGCUCCUCGGAACUCCAUGCAGACAUACAAUCCUGGUCAUGUAUUAUCUUUGCCAACUUAGCACUGGUGUAAGUGGUCUUUACUGGGAUGAAAUGAGCUACCUUUGUCAAACGAUCGACUAUAACCCAAAUCGAGUCAUAGCCUGAACGAGUCAUGGGCAAUUAUGUGAUAAAAUCCAUGCCUAGUUUAUCCCACUUCCAUUCGGGUAUCGGCAAUGGUUGUAGCAAUCCUGCUGGCUUCUAAUGUUCUGCCUUCACUCUCUGACAUACAUCACAAACUGCUACGUACUCCACAAUAUCCUUCUUCAUUCCGGUCCACCAGAAAGUGUCCUUCAAAUAUAGAUACAUCUUGGUAUUUCCUGGGUGAAUCGAGUAUGGCGAAUCAUGGGCCUCUUGUAGAAUCAACUUCCUGAUCUCCGGGUCAUUAGGCACAUAAAUGUGGUCCUCAAACCAUAAGGUAUCGUGCUUAUCCUCACGAAAUCCUUUAGCUUUUCCUUUGUUCAUCCUCUCCUUUAUAGAGGCAAUCUCCUUGUCAGUCUUCUGAGUUUCUCUGAUCUUACCCAUCAAACUCGACUGAAUUUCCAAUGCUGCAACAUAGCAUCUCGGAACUAUCUCCAAACAUAGCUCGUGAAGGUCCUCGGCUAACUCCUUCGGUAACUCUCCGGUCAAGAGUGUGCUGACAUGGCUCUUGCGGCUCAACGCAUCGGCUACUACGUUAGCCUUUCCGGGGUGAUAAUGCAAUCUCAUAUCGUAAUCCUUGAUGAGCUCCAACCAUCUCCUUUGCCUGAGAUUCAGCUCCUUCUGUGUGAAGAUGUACUUCAAACUCUUGUGAUCCGUGUACACCUCACAAUGGUUUCCGAUGAGAAAAUGUCUCCAAGUCUUCAAUGCAUGCACAACGGCUGCUAACUCCAAAUCAUGUGUAGCAUAAUUCAACUCAUGGGGCUUAAGCUGUUGUGAGGCAUACGAAACAACUCUUCCCUCCUGCAUAAGCACUGCUCCAAGUCCUCGACGUGAAGCGUCGCAAUACACCUCAUAAUCCUUGCGCUGAUCUGGCAGAAUCAAAACUAGCGAUGUAACCAAACGUUUCUUCAACUCCUGAAAAUUGGCCUCGCAUUCCUCAGUCCAUUUGAACUCGGUAUCCUUCUUCAACAACUUUGUCAUGGGCUUCGCAAUUUUCGAGAAAUUCUCGAACCUCCAGUAGUAUCCUGCAAGUCCAAGAAAACUCCGGAUCUCUCCAACUGUUGUUGGUGCUACCCAAUUUGUCAUAGUGACAACUUUGGUGGGAUCUACUGCUAUUCCUUCUCCGGAUAUAACAUGUCCGAGGAAUCCAACUUCAUUCAACCAAAACUCACAUUUGCUGAACUUGGCGUAUAACUGAUGUUCUCUGAGCUUCUCCAGUACCAAACGCAAAUGUUCCUUAUGCUCUUCUUCAUUCUUCGAGUAGACCAAGAUAUCAUCAAUGAACACCACGACGAACUUAUCUAGAAACUCCAUAAACACCUUGUUCAUCAUGUUCAUGAAAUAUGCAGGUGCGUUAGUCAGGACAAAUGACAUAACAGUAUACUCAUACAGCCCGUACCUGGUGGUAAAAGCCGUCUUAGGUAUAUCCUGCUCUCGAAUCUUCAACUGGUGGUAUCCUGAUCGCAAAUCGAUCUUGGAAAAUACCUUAGCUCCUUGCAAUUGGUCAAACAAAUCGUUGAUCAUCGGCAACGGGUACUUGUUCUUGAUUGCCACUUCAUUCAAUCCUCGAUAAUCAACAACCAUCCUCAAUGAUCCAUCCUUCUUCUCCACUAGAAGCACUGGUGAUCCCCAAGGUGAAGAACUUGGGCGAAUAUAUCCUUUAUCCAGUAACUCCUUAAUCUGCUUCUUAAUUUCCUCCAAAUCUUGUGCGGGCAUCCUGUACAGUCUCUUAGAUAUCGGCCCUAUGCCCGGCAAAAGCUCAAUCAAAAACUCAAUGUCUCUAUCCGGUGGCAUGCCUAGCAACUCUUCUGGAAAUACAUCAGGGAAAUCCUUCACCACUGGUACUUCCUCCUGUACAACUCCUGAUAAGGAAUUUACUUGGGUCCUCUUUGGCUCAUGCCGUGAUACAUACUUGAUCCUUCUCCCUUCUGGGGUGGUAAGCAAAAUUGUCUUACUGGCGCAAUCGAUGUUUCCUCCAUACAUCGAUAGUCAAUCCAUACCCAGAAUCACAUCCAAACCUUGCGAUUCCAAAAUGAUUAAAUCCGAGGGGAAAACAUGCCUACCUAUACUCAAUGGCACUUCAAAACAUCCUCGACUGGCCAUAUACUCCGCUCCUGGUGAGCUUACUAACAUAGGUGUUCUAAGAACCUUGGUGGGCAGUUUAUACUUAUCCACAAAUCCCCUUGAUAUGUAUGAAUGUGAUGCACUAGUAUCAAAAAGAACGAGUGCAGUAAAUGACUUAACCAAAAACUUACCUAUUACUGCAUCUGGCUGGGCUUCAACCUCCUCCGUGUUAACGUGGUUCACCUGUCCCCAGUUGAAAGGGUUCGGCUUCUUCCCAGAGCUUCCAUUGCCAUUUCCAUUCUGGGCUUCAGGACAUUCAUUGGCAUAAUGUCUAGUCUUCUGACACUUGUAGCAAGUGACUUGGCUCAGAUCUCUCUUGGCUGGGGUUGAUGGAUUGGUACGGUUCUGGCCGUUGCUUCCUACAUUCCCAUUCCCAUUUUUGAGGCCAUUAUGAUUGUGCGAACUCCCUCCUCCAUGGGUAUGCUGAAAAUGUCCUCUCGAUUUCGGGGUAAAACGUGGCUUCUACUGAGCUCCAGAAUUGUACUUCCCUUGUCCAUACUUCCUCUUGUGAUUGUCAAUCUGCUGCUGCUUCCCUUCAAUCAUGAGAGCUCUAUCUACCAACUCCUGAUAGUUGUUGAAAGUUGCUACCAUCAACUGCAUGCUCAGCUCAUCAUUCAGUCCUUCCAGAAUCUUUUCCUGCUUAGCUGCAUCCGUAGCAACGUCAUCUGGGGCAUAACAUGCUAGCUUAGAGCAUCUCCAGCCGUUGGCCCCCCAGGGGGCGCCUAAAAUCGCCGCCUGGGGGUGACCUGGCGCAAAAAGUGGGUCUGGGGGCGAGUUAGCCCCCAGCCGCCGCCCCAUGGGCCGGCCCCAGGCGUGAUUUUUUUUGACAAACUUGGGGUGAAACACGCCACUUUUCGGCAAACUUGGGCUUUUAUAUUCGCAAACUUGGGCUAAAACACGCCAUUACAUAUAAAAACUAGUCAAAAAAACUUGCUGAAGGCCGAGAAGUCGCUGUCGUCGCCGCCAUCGUCGGCCUUCUCCUCCUUGACUCGGGCGCCCCUGUUGGACCCCUCCCCGGCUGGUGGCGGCGGCGGCGGCGCGUCGUCGUCGUCGUCGUCGUUGUCGUUGAUGAUGACGACGCCGCCUUUGUUGCGGCCUUGGGGGCGCUGUGCGAAGCGCUCUAGGGUGGCGCGCUGGCGCUCCCUCACCAUCUUCAGGGAAUCAUGGCGUGCCCAUUCAAGGGCCGCGUCGUCAUCGAGCUCGACAUCGCCGUGCUCCGCCUUCACCGGCGCCAGCAGCCCCGGCUCCGUCUUCACCGGAGCCAGCCCCGGCUUCGUCUUCACCGGCGCGAGACCCGGCUCCGUCUUCGGCUUGACGAAGCGCGGGGAGGAGCCGAUGAGGAGGCACGCCGGCCUCCCUCACUGAUGACGAUGCCGGUGCUGCGUGUAUGCCGACCAAGCGGCGUCUCCGCCGCGGGCUCGGCCUUGACGCCGAGUAGCGAUGGAGUGCUGGAGGAUUGGGAGGAAGAACGCGACAAGGAAGAGGAGGAGGAGGAGCCGAACCUCCUCGGCGCCCAUUGCCCGUCGCGUCGGCGGUGCGUCGGGGCGGCCGUCCUCGCCGGGGGGUACGCCGACGGUGGGUUGUUGCCGCCCUCGAGGUGCGCCAGCACGCCGUCGAGGGUGCGGCCGGGGACGCCCCACCAGAGGUGUCACCCCUCGCUGUUCUUAGUGCCGCCGACCACCGGCGCCCCGUUGGUGGACGCCAGCCGCUGCUGCUGGCGGCGCUCGAAGUACGCCGCCCAAGCCGUGUUGUUGUCGGUGGCGUACUGGGGAAGGGAGCGCUCGGCGUCGGAGAGAGAGGCGCGCGUGAUCCCGACCUCGUCAGUGAAGUACGAUGGCUUGGUGACGGCGUUGGGCAACGAGGGAAUGGGCACUCCCCCAUUGCUGAGCCUCCAGCCCGUCGGCCCGGCGCGCAUGUCCGGUGGCGCCGGGAUGUUCGCCUGGAACAGGAGCCAGGACUCCUGUUCACGGAGCGAACGACGGCCGAAGCCGUUGGCCGCCGCCUCGUCUCCGAGGAAACGCUCAGCCAUCGGGGAUAGGGAGUGGCUGGGGAGAAGAGAUCGGCGGGAGAGGGAGGGCUGGGGUGGAACUCCAAUGCAGGCAAGCGAGACCAUAUAUAGCCGCGCCGCGCCCAUGUGUACGCGUCCGAGGGAGGGGAGGCAUCGGUGCACCGCCCCGUGACGCACCGCCCGUGAGGAAUCAAUGGCAAAGCUGACCGGCGGCAGCCUUGCCAUUGAUUCCCCGCGGGAAACCGAGGCGUCGGGAAGACAAGGCGGGCGGUGUCGCUGACGCGGCUGCCCCAUGACGCGGCUGCCCCACGGCGCUUUCGCGCCAAAAAAGAUUCGCCCGGCGCCCCCGAGCGCCCCCCAGCAUGCCGGGUUCGGGUUGGGUCCGCCGACGCCAAUUUGGGCCCGAGCCGAUGAAAAAUGGGCCCCUGGGGCGCGACUGGGCUGAUUUUUUGGUGCCGGCGGCCGAAAAGUCGCCUGGGGGGCCUUGUUGGGGGCGCGGCUAGAGAUGCUCUUACUAAAGUCAUCCACAUACUGGCCAACGGUAUGUCCUCCUUGGCGCAAGUUACGAAACUCACGCUUCUUCAUGGCCAUAGCUCCUGCUGAAACAUGGGCAGUACGGAAAGCCUGCUGAAACUGAUCCCAUGUGACAGUGUCGAUAGGAUAAGUGGUUGUGAAAUUCUCCCACCAUGAUGUUGCGGGUCCAUCAAGCUAAUGUGCGGCAAAACGCACCUUUUCUGCAUCUGUGCAUCCUGCAGUGGUCAACUCCCUUCCUGUCUUGUGGAGCCAAUCAUCUGCAACUAUCGGCUCGGUGCUACUGGAGAACACCGACGGAUUUAGCCUCAAGAAACGGGCUAAGUGAUCAACUGGUGGUGGUGGUGGUGGGUUGUUGUUGUUGUUGUUGUUCCCCUGAUUUUGAUUCUAGACUAGCAUCUGCAUUAAUGCAUUAUGCUGCUGGAUCAACUGAGUGUGCUCCGGUGGGAAAGUAAAUCCAUUGUCACGUCCCGGAGGCAUCUGAGGGUUUAGAAGAGAUAAUAGAAUAUAAUAGAAUGAGGUCUAGAGAGAAAACACUACCCAUAUGCACAUGAGACAAAUGCAAACAAUAUCACUUCAUUCAAUUCAAACAAGGGCAUACAAAAGUCUAACUAUCAUUACAAAAGUGCUCAGACUAUACUAGAUAAAUGGGGGAAUACUACUACUGUUAUGGUGGUCGACUAGAAAAACUACUCCAUUGAAGACUCCAUGAUAUCUGCUCCAGCUUCAUCAACAUAGUCAUCAUCGCUAUCGUUUGGGUCCGAGUUGGUGUCGUCGAUGAUGAUGUAGUUCUCCGGGCAAGUGCAAUCAUCAUCUUCUCCUCCAGUCGCGGGAAAUCCCAUAAACACAUUUAGCUUCUUCUUUAGAUCUUCAUUCUUCUCCAUGAGUGUUGAUAUUUCCUCCUCAUAUACAUCGCGUGUAGACUUGAGUUCUUCCUCCAACUCCAUGAUCUUGGUCAUAGCCUUCUUCAGAUCUAUCAUGCCUGUGCACAUCUGGUUCUCCUGGCGACGAAUGUGCUGGUUUAACUCCUGGAUGAAAGCUGCAAUUGAUCUAUCCUUCCUGGUGCUGAUCAUCUCCCAUUGCUCAUCUUGGCGCCCACAAAUCUGGUAGAUAGUAUCCUUAAGAUCCUUGUGGUAAACUUCUCCAAUGUGUCCCAUUGUGAUGUGAGCUGCCAUGCUCUUUCCUAAGUUCUAGGUUGGUGCAUCAAAGGAAAACUCUAUGGGCUCACUAACGGGCAUGAACGUCCUUCCUGGAACUUGAACUUGAAUCAUCCAACACUCCUCUUCUGGUAGAGUGGCGAUGUAGGUCCUGGUGAAGCUUGGUACUCCGAUGUUCAGAUACUUAGUGACUUCCUUCAAGUGGCAUCCAAAGAGUGUAUCUUCAUCCGGUUGCGUGAACUUAUUCCUUGCAUCCGCCAUCCUAAAAGAGUAGAAAAGAUGAGGAGUCAGAAAUGAGAAGAGUGAGUAGAGAUCUAGGGCUUUUUUUUGCUUAGUGGUCGUGUCCUACAGUCAGCGUGUGCUCUGAUACCAUCUUGUAGCGACCAGACCUCAAAUAGUCUGAUCUCUGUGCUUUAGUGUCAUCCCUGGAUCAGUAAUGCUGGCACACACAGUACUUGAAGGAUUUAUAACAGAGUAGCAAUCACACACUUAUUACAUCGAAUGUCUCAAAAGAGAACUUAUUACAAUAAAUAUGGCUUAAGGCCAUCUAAUAACGAUAAUAGCGGAAGGCUUGGAAGAUAAGUGAGUCCAUCAACUCCAACGGCAUCAGUGAGUAUAAGACCACAACCUAAGGCACCUUACUCGUUGUCUGAAAAGUCUGCAACAUGAACGUUGCAGCCCGAAAACGGGUCAGCACAUGGAGUAUGCUGGCAAUGUAACACAUAGAGAGUAAUGAACAGAAUAAUGCUAUCACUACAUGCAUAUAUGGUUGGUGGAAAGCUCUAUGGUUAUAGUUUUGCAUAAAGCCAUAUUUUCCCUACUGCAAAGCAAUAAAUUUUAUUUAACUAUCAUGGUGGUUGUUAAACAUUGAGAAGGUAGACACCCUCUCAAUCCCAAUUAAGCAUCAUCAUUAAACCCAACAAAUUAAAUUAAAAGUAAGAUGAUGAGAUUCACAUGAUAAUCCAAGUACUAGAUACUCAAAACGUCCAUAAUCGGGGACACGGCUAACCAUGAUUAGUUUGUACACUCUGCAGAGGUUUGUGCACUUUUCCCCACAAGACUCGAUCUCCUCCGUUGGUUUUCUCGCACUACAUGGUGUUUGAGAAACGGAUGACUGAGACAUAGUCUUUUAGAAGCGCUAGCACCUUACGAUCGGGUAGACAGUUACACCUAUUUUCCCAACAUCUGCUUGUCUACCACUGUAAGAGUUCGCAUGACUUAGUCAACUAUGCUAGAGCCCAUAGUAGCUUGUGGCUGCACACAGAAGUUUCUAGCAUGAAUAAUCUCAUGAUCCCUUUGAGCCUGGGUGGCGGUCCAUAAAGAAAACAGGCAAUCGCUGGAAUACCCAGGUGCCUCAAUCCACCCAGAUGUGUAUUAAAGUUUCCACCUUAAAUAAACCAUUAAAUAACAAUCUCACAUCUGUCAUGGAUACACUCACCCAAUCCACGUCUACUAGCAUAGCAUAGCAUAUUUAAGCAAACGUAGAAGUAACUCCCAAGGGUUUGAUAAUAAAACAGGUAAUAGGCACUACCUCAUCUACUUCCCAAAACCCACAUAUUAAUCAGAUCCUAACCAUGCAAUUGUUUGAGGAUUGAUCUAAUGCAAUAAAACUGGGUAGUAAAGAGGUAUGAUCAAAGUGUUACUUGCCUUGCUGAUGAUCCGUGAAACCUAGAGAUUCGAAGUAGCAAGCGGCGCACUCCGGAUACUCUAUCGCAAACAAACAAGCAUACAAUAAAUACUCAUCUAAUGCACUGGUAAAACUCAAAUAAGAUAUCUAACCAGAAAGUUCAACUUAAGAACUCAGGUUUGCAAAAAGAAUCAAAUCAAACAAGGCAACGAAACUCAAACAGCGAAAGAAACAAGCUUCGUUUCCUAAUUUGGACCUAAGUCAAAAUUUUAUAGUAGCAAAACUUGUUUGAGUUGGCUAAAUGGAAAGAGGGUUUUGAGGCGAAACUCUAGGCGCUUGAAUCACCAGAUUCCGAUAAACGAGCGAAAAGAAAAACUAAAACGAAAAUUGGAUCAGAAAUCGUUAUCUGGAAUAAUCGCGGAAAAUCCGAGAAAAAGAAAAACUGACGAACGGGCUAAUGAACGAACGUUCGUUUUCUGCGGCUAAACGACAAAAACCGUUCGUUAAAACGAACUUAUGGACGAACAUCCGUUAAAUAGAUAAACCGAGAAAAUCGGUGAACCGAUCUAAAAAACGAACUAGGGUUUCUAAAAAAACCGAAUCGGUUUUAAAAAAAACCAGCGGCGGCGAACGGCGGCUACCUCGUCGGUCCGGUGGGGCUUGGGGCUCCGGCGGGGCGGCNNNNNNNNNNNNNNNNNNNNNNNNNNNNNNNNNNNNNNNNNNNNNNNNNNNNNNNNNNNNNNNNNNNNNNNNNNNNNNNNNNNNNNNNNNNNNNNNNNNNNNNNNNNNNNNNNNNNNNNNNNNNNNNNNNNNNNNNNNNNNNNNNNNNNNNNNNNNNNNNNNNNNNNNNNNNNNNNNNNNNNNNNNNNNNNNNNNNNNNNNNNNNNNNNNNNNNNNNNNNNNNNNNNNNNNNNNNNNNNNNNNNNNNNNNNNNNNNNNNNNNNNNNNNNNNNNNNNNNNNNNNNNNNNNNNNNNNNNNNNNNNNNNNNNNNNNNNNNNNNNNNNNNNNNNNNNNNNNNNNNNNNNNNNNNNNNNNNNNNNNNNNNNNNNNNNNNNNNNNNNNNNNNNNNNNNNNNNNNNNNNNNNNNNNNNNNNNNNNNNNNNNNNNNNNNNNNNNNNNNNNNGCGGCGGGCUUCGGCGGCUGCGUCUCCCGGCGGCGGCGGCUUCGGCGGCGGGGCAGGACGGGGUGAGGCGGCGGGGUUGGGGGGUAUUUAAGAGGGGGAGGGGUGGCUUGGGGUAGGGGGCAAGGCGGCGGGGAGGAGGAGUCCGGCUCGGACUCCGGUCCGAGUCGACGGCGCGGGGGACGUGGGCCGGCUCGGCUGGGCCUCAGCCCAGUCGGGCCCUGGAAGUUUUUUUUUAACAAUUCCGCCGAAACUAAGAAACAUUCUAGAAAAUAUAAUAAAAUUCGAAAAAUGCCAAAAUAAAUUUUCACCAUCUAAAUAAAAUAUUUAGGACGAGAUGAAUUCUUGGCCCUAAAAUGCAGUUUUGAAAAACGUGCAAUUUUCCUAAAUUCAAAUGAAAUAGCCAAAAACUCCGAAAUAAAAUCUUAUUUGAUUUUUUAUUAAAUCCUCAUAUUUCUUUAUUUUGGGAAAGUCAUUUUAUUCCCUCUCUCAUAAUUUUAUAAUAGAAAUAAUUGAAGAUAAAAUAAAUAAAAUCAAAUGAUCCUUUUUCCAAAAUUUGAGAAAACUCAAAUAUGAAAAUAACGAAAUUCCCAACUCUCUCCGAGGGUCCUUGAGUUGCGUAAAAUUUCUAGGAUCAAGCCAAAAACAAUAAAAUAUGAUAUGCAAUGAUGAUCUAAUGUAUAACAUUACAAACUGAAAAUUUGGGAUGUUACAAUAACUUUGCAUUUUUCUAUCCAAGUUUUCAAUAUGUUCUACGGUAAGCAUUUUAUUUUCAAUAGCAUCUAGUCUUUCCAUAACAUGCUCAAGAGUCAAUAUUGUUUCAUUGAUCACGAGUGGUGGUGAACCCACUAAAUUUCCCAAAGCAUUAAAAGCAUCAAGAGUAGGACACAUUGAAAUCACAAGUGCUCCCUAGGUGGUUUUGGUAAUUAAUGUCAACAUAUCUCUUGUUGGACUAACACUUUUAUCUAGUAUAUUUCAGAUAAGUUCAACAUUGGAGUGGCAUGGACUAAAGGAUGUGGGAACUCCUUCAAGAUGCUAAGGACAAAGGAUUGGCUCAAGCUUCAAGAUCAAGACUCUUCAUUUUACAUUUCAGUGAUCCAAGAUCACAUUGAGUCUAUAGGAAAGCCAAUACUAUCAAGGAGGGAUGAGGUGUUGCUUAAUGAGCCUCUUGCUUCAUGUGCUUAGUGAUAUGCUCCAAAAACCCUCAACCACUUUCUCACAUCCACAUAUGUCCUAAACCUAAAGUCAAACUCAGCCCCACUGAUUCUUUCUAUCCGGCGCCACCGAGUUUUGAUGUCUUAGCCACUGCCACAAACCCUAGGCAAAUCGGUAUCACCGAUAGGGAUCUCGGUCUCACUGAGAUGGGAUUGUAAUCUCUCUGUGUAUGCCCAUUAUCAAAAUCGGUCUCACCGAGUUUGAGCAAUCGGUACUACCGAGAUUACAAUGCAAACUUCCUGGUUGACUCAUUACCAAAAUCGGUCCCACCGAGUUUGAUAAUCGGUCCAACCGAGUUUGCCUGACCAACUCUCUGGUUAGCUAAUUACCAAAAUCGGUCCUACCGAGUUUGUGUAAUCGGUCUCACCGAGAUUACGUUAUGCCCUAACCCUAACCAUAUCGGUCCUACCGAGUUGCAUUUCGGUCCCACCGAAAAUCCUAACGGUCACUAGGUUUACUAAAUCGGUCUGACCAAGUCUAUUGAAUCGGUCCCACCGAGUUUGGUAAAUUGUGUGUAACGGUUAGAUUUUGUGUGGAGGUUAUAUAUACCCCUCCACCUCCUCUUCAUUCGUGGAGAGAGCCAUCAGACUAAACCUACACUUCCAACUUACCAUUUCUGAGAGAGAACCACCUACUCAUGUGUUGAGGCCAAGAUAUUCCAUUCCUACCAUAUGAAUCUUGAUCUCUAGCCUUCCCAAGUUGCUUUCCACUCAAAUCCUCUUUCUACUAGAUCCAAAUCCUAUGAGAGAGAGUUGAGUGUUGGGGAGACUAUCAUUUGAAGCACAAGAGCAAGGAGUUCAUCAUCAACGCACCAUUUGUUACUUCUUGGAGAGUGGUGUCUCCUAGAUUGGCUAGGUGUCACUUGGGAGCCUCCGACAAGAUUGUGGAGUUGAACCAAGGAGUUUGUAAGGGAAAAGAGAUCGCCUACUUCGUGAAGAUCUACCGCUAGUGAGGCAAGUCCUUCGUGGGCGACGGCCAUGGUGGGAUAGACAAGGUUGCUUCUUCGUGGACCCUUCUUGGGUGGAGCCCUCCAUGGACUCGCGCAACCGUUACCCUUCGUGGGUUGAAGUCUCCAUCAACGUGGAUGUACGAUAGCACCACCUAUCGGAACCACGCCAAAAACAUCCGUGUCUCCAAUUGCGUUUGAAUCCUCCAAACCCUUCCCCUUACAUUCUUGCAAGUUGCAUGCUUUACUUUCCGCUGCUCAUAUACUCUUUGCAUGCUUGCUUGCUAUGUGUUGUGAAUGUUUAUACUUGUGCCUAAACUCCACUUAGUUUUAAAAAGGCUAAAAACUGCAACUUUGGUACUUAGUGUCUAAUCACCCCCCCCCUCUAGACACCUCUUCUCAAGGUCCUACAAGUGGUAUCAGAGCAUUGGUCUCCAUUGCUUUGGUUUAAUCACCAUUGGAGGAAGAUGGAUGAGUCUACUUUGGGGAGUCUUAGACAUAGAGUGCCUAUUCUUGAUGGAGAGUACUUUCAUGAGUGGAAAAAUGAGAUGCUUGUAAUUUUCAAUCAAUAUCAUUUGAACAAGUACAUUGCUAGUCCUUGUGCACCUUGUGUUGAUCCUAUGCAUCCUACACUUGAUGAGUCAAUUGACAUGAUUAGGAAUGUUAGAACUGCUAAUCUUAUCAUUAGAGGCUUGCCUAAAAACUUGAUUAUAAAACUGCCUACUCUUGAGUGUGCCUACACUAUAUGGAAAUUUCUCGAGGAACGAUUUCCUGAUUAUUCUUUGAAAAAUCUUGAUGAAAUUCUCCAUAAGUCUAUUGCCUUGAGUAAGAUGAAUACUAGUGAUCCUAUGUUUGGUGAUCGUCUAUUUGAGCUUACAAACCUUAUGCGUGCCAAAGGAAAUGUUGGUAUUAUUAGUGAUAUUAUUUCCAAAGCUAUAAAAAUUCAUAGACAAGAUCAUUGUCAAAAUCACUCUAACGAAUCACCCUCUCUAGGAUUUGAUCCACCACAUGACGAUGUUGAACAUGGAUACUAUGAUGAGGAUGAUGAUAGUGACUUCGAUCUUGAUGAUGCAAUGAGACAUUUUGGUCUUAUGGCAAAUCUUCGGGGAUAUAUGUCAGGAGGAAAGGAAUGGGUCCUUGACAGUGGAUGUACCGAUCACAUGGCUGGAGAUAAAGACAUGUUUCGUGAGCUUGCUGAUAAUGAUAGUCCUCGAAAGUAUGUCACUUUUGGUGACAACUCAAAGGGUAAGGUGGUUGGCCUCGAUAAGGUGGCCAUCUCACAUGAUAGCUCCAUACAAAAUGUCAUGCUCGUUGAAUCUCUUGGAUACAACUUACUUUCAGUAUCUAGACUCACUAACUUUGGCUUCAAUGUCUUAUUUACUGAAGUUGAUUGCCAAGUGUUUCGUCGAGACAAUCACAAAAUGGUCUUUACCGGUAUACGUAGAGGUGAUCUUUACAUUGUUGAUUUCACUAAAAAGGCCCAACCUAAAACUUGCUUCAUUGCUAAAUCCUCAAAAGGUUGGUUGUGGCAUAGACGACUAGGUCACGUUGGCAUGAGAAACCUUGACAAGCUUAUUAAGGGAAAUCAUAUCCUUGGAGUUAAUGAUGUCAUAUUUGAUAAGGAUAGACUUUGCAGUGCUUGUCAGGCAGGUAAACAGGUUGGAGGAAGGCAUCCCGUGAAGAACAUUAUGACCACAAGGAGGCCACUUGAGCUACUCCACAUGGAUCUCUUUGGUCCCAACUCUUACAAGAGUCUCGGUGGAAAUUCUUUUGGUCUAGUUAUAGUCGACGAUUUUUCCAGAUUUACCUGGGUGUUCUUUCUCGAUGAUAAAUCGCAGGUUCAGAAGAUCUUCAAAAACUUCGCUAGGAAGGCCCAAAAUCAAUUUGAAGUGAAGAUCAAGAAGGUUCGCAGCGACAACGGAACAGAGUUCAAUAACGCAAAUGUGGACACCUUUCUUAAUGAAGAAGGGAUUUCACACGAGUUCUCAGCUACGUACACACCUCAACAAAAUGGAGUUGUUGAGAGGAAGAACCGGAUGCUCAUCGAAAUGGCGAGAACGAUGCUUGAUGAGUACAAAACGCCGAAGCACUUUUGGGCGGAAGCGGUUGAGACAGCUUGUCAUGCAACAAAUCGCUUGUAUCUUCACAAGCUACUUGGCAAGACGGCAUACGAACUCCUCACCGGUAACAAACCCCAAGUUGGAUACUUUCGAGUAUUCGGCUCAAAGUGCUACAUUCUUGAUAAGCAUCGUCGUUCUAAAUUUGCCCCUAAGUCUCAUGAAGGUUUCCUGCUAGGUUAUGGCUCAAACUCUCACACAUACCGUGUCUACAGCAAUUUCACCCGAAAGGUUGAAGAGACGGUAGAUGUGAAGUUUGAUGAAUCUAACGGCUCGCAAGUAGAGCAACUGCCAAUUGAUGUAGGAGACAAAGAUCCUUCGGAAGCAAUCCAAGACUUGUCUAUUGGCAAGGUUCGUCCAACGGAGGUGAAGGGGGGUACCUCGUCCGUCCAAGUGGAAGCUUCUACUUCACGACAAGGUGAACCAAGAGUUGAUACGGAAGCAUCCACAAGUGGGACACACCAAGAUGAAGGAAACGAGGAAGUGCAUCAAGAUGAACAUCAACAACCUCCUUCUCAACCACGACAAGAGAACGACAACGCCAACAAUGAAGAAGGCCAAGAAGAAGAACAAGAUGAAGAAGAUGUUCAACGAAGAUCCAAGCAAAAGCUUUCACGAGUUCGAGCAAGAAUUGCUAAAGACCAUCCCGUCGAGCAAAUCUACAAUGAUAUUCAAACCGGGAGAAUCACUCGCUCUAAAACUCGUCUAGCUAACUUUUUUGAAAACUAUUCUUUCAUCUCUAGCAUUGAACCUAUGAAGGUCGAAGAAGCAUUGGAAGAUCUGGAUUGUAUAAAUGCUAUGCAUGAAGAGCUACACAACUUUGAGAGGAACCAAGUUUGGACAUUGGUUGAGAAUCCCGACAACAACCACAACAUCAUCGGUACCAAAUGGGUGUUUCGCAACAAGCAAGAUGAAGAUGGACAAGUAGUUCGCAACAAAGCACGUCUUGUCGCCCAAGGCUACACACAAGUUGAAGGUAUGGACUAUGGUGAGACUUAUGCUCCCAUUGCUAGACUUGAGUCUAUUCGCAUCUUACUUGCCUAUGCUAAUCACCAUAAUAUCACAUUGUACCAAAUGGACAUUAAAAGUGCUUUUCUAAAUGGUGAAAUAGAGGAGGAAGUUUAUGUUAAACAACCUCCUAGCUUUGUCAAUCCCAAGAAACCCAAUCACGUUUACAAACUUCACAAAGCUCUUUAUGGUCUUAAACAAGCUCCUAGAGCAUGGUAUAAAUGCUUGACCAAGUUCCUUAUUGAAAAAGGCUUUGAAAUUGGGAAAAUUGAUUCCACACUCUUUACUAAAAGGGUUAAUGGUGAACUAUUUGUGUGCCAAAUCUAUGUUGAUGAUAUUAUAUUUGGUUCAACUAACCCUCAUUUUAGUGAGAAGUUUGGAAAGCUAAUGUCGGAGAAGUUUGAGAUGUCAAUGAUGAGUGAACUCAAAUUCUUUCUUGGGUUGCAAAUCAAGCAAACUAAGGAAGGUACUUUUGUCUCUCAAACGAAGUACACUAAGGACUUAUUCAAGAAGUUCAAUAUGCAAGAAUGCAAAGGUAUGUCUACACCCAUGCCUACUAGUGGACAUCUUGAUUUGACCAAAGAUGGUGAACCACUUGAUCAAAAGGUUUAUCGCUCUAUGAUUGGUUCAUUGUUAUAUCUAUGUGCUUCACGUCCCGAUAUUAUGCUAAGUGUGUGCAUGUGUGCACGAUAUCAAGCUGCUCCUAAAGAAUGUCAUCUUAAGGCUGUGAAAAGGAUAGUGAGAUACUUAAUCCAUACACCAAAUUUUGGCAUUUGGUAUCCUAAGAGGGCCUCUUUCGAUCUUGUUGGCUACUCCGACUCGGACUAUGCCGGAGACAAGGUUCAUAGAAAGUCCACUUUGGGUACUUGUCAAUUUCUUGGUAGAUCUCUUGUGUCUUGGUCUUCCAAGAAACAAAACUCGGUAUCCUUAUCCACCGCCGAAGCGAAAUACAUUGCCACUGGUUCAUGUUGUGCUCAAUUACUUUGGAUGACCCAAAAUCUUAAAGAUUAUGGGAUAUAUGUGAAACAUGUUCCAUUGCUUUGUGACAAUGAAAGUGCUAUCAAAAUUGGUCAUAAUCCUGUGCAACAUUCUCGAACUAAGCAUAUUGAAGUUCGUCAUCAUUUCAUUCGAGAUCAUGUUGCUAAGGGUGACAUUGAUCUUAAGCAUGUUCGCACCGAAAAGCAAUUAGCGGAUAUAUUCACUAAACCUCUUGAUGAGAAAGUGUUUUGCAGGUUGAGAGGAGAAUUGAACGUCAUUGAUGCUUCAAACUUGGAGUAGAAACUCCAUUGGAUACAUGCAAGACAUGAGCUUAUGACUAAUCCUUGAUAUUUCUCUUAUGAUGAAAAUCUUAUGUCCUGGAUAUAUUUGUAUCUUGCAUGCUAUCUAACCCAUGUAGGUACUUGGUUGAAUCUAAUUCCAUGAGAUUGUAAUCUACUCAUAUCUAGAGCAAUCUCUACAUCACCAAGUCUCCACAAAGGUGGUUGAAGACAAGGAAGCACGAAACCAUUCGAACAUAUCCUUUGACAAAUUCUAUGUUAAACUUCAUGAGUGUCAUUUUUGGAUACACAAGUGCUCUUCAUUGCAAGAACUAACCCAUGUAGGUAGAUGGACUCAAAUUCCAAGGGGUGCUCCAAAUUCUUGAUGAGCUACAUCAACCUCGAGCAACUAACACAAGUUCAACUACAUGGACAACACCACCAACCAAGGUAUGUUAUUCCAUCUUAGAGAAGCUUUACUCCAAGUCAUGAGCUAAAGCAACUCGACAAGAUGUGAAUACAUCAAGAUGCUUAAAUGAAAAAUGGCAACCCCAUUUUGAGCUUAAACGAUGAGUAUGACCUAUGAUCAAGUGAUCUCACUUGACUCCUAAGUCAAUAUACUCUAUCAUAGGUGACUUCGUCGCCGACCAUCUCUAGAUGAAGUUCCCUUGUGUUUUCUUCUGUGUUUUUGCAUUUGUCUCAUUCUUAUUUGUUUCCCCUUUCAAAAAAAACUUCAUCUAGAUUUCUUUCUGUUUGCUCUGUAUUUUUUUGCAUGUCAUUCAGUAAAUUCCUUGCAUAUCAUUCAGUAAAUUCCUUGCAAAUCUUUGUGAGAUCUUAUUAGUCUAGUGAGCUGAGGUGACAAGUGUUUUCCCUGCGAUGAACUCGGUUACACCGAUUUGUUAUUUUCGGUCCAACCGAAAACUUUCGGUACCACCGAAGCAUACCACUCGGUGCCACCGAUUUCACAACAGGAAAAACAAUUUGCCACUUAUUCUGUGUUUCUUCUGAUCCAGCUCCACUCAAUGAAUCUUGUCCUCUACAAGCAUCACAUUUUUAUCAUUGCUUUAUGUUGUGACUCAAGGAUCAAACCCAUUCACGUCAAAUUUUAGAGGGAGAGAGAGAUUACAUCUUUAUCAAGCCCUUCUUGGAAAUUGAUGUCAAAGGGGGAGAAAGAGAUCACAUCAAAGCUUAUCAUUUAGAGAGAGAGAGAUCACAUCUCAGAGGGAGAGAGAGAUCCUUCAAGGGGAGAGAGAGAUCUCCAGGGGAGAGAAUACUAGUAGAAAGUAUUUCUCAAGGAUCCUAGAUGCUUGGUGUUCAAGAGAAGAGAUGCCACAUGUCUUCUUGAGGGGAAAGGCAUGUUCAUAUGUGCUUAUUUGCAUUAGCUUGCAUUAGCUCUGUUAUUUAUAUCUUUCAGCUUUGAUUUUUUGUUCCCUAUCUUCUCCCAGUAUCCCAUGCUAGAUUCAGGGGGAGCGAGACAUCUAAGGGAAAAAAUCAUUUAAAUUCAUUGCAUAUCUUUACUCUUGGGGACAUGUCUAAUCAACUGUAGUACUUAGUACUCACUCUCUACAUGUCAUCCCAGUCUUGGUAUUCUUGUGGUUUCUUCUGUUUGCUCUGGCUAGUAGAUGUAUCUGUGUUAUCUAACCUUGUUUACACAGGUUCAUUCCAUCCUAAGCCUACUCAAGACUACAAGGUAAGUAUAUGCAUCACAAUCAUGUGCAUGAGGAAUUCUUGCUGAUGUACAUACUGUUUGCAAGAAGGACUCAUGGGCAUGAAGGUAUUUCCUUUAAAAAAAAUUUUGCUCUGAUGCAUAUGGCCAAGAUACAUGUCACACAUUGCCUGCUCUAUCAUGGUUAUGCUCUCACAUGCUUCUAUAUUUCAUAUUCACAUGAUUGCAUACAUGUAGGGGGAGCCUAUGCUUGUUACAUGUCUUUCCAAAGCUUUACUUGCUAUUCUUUAUAUCCUUAUCUAAAGCUUUAGUGUAUGUUGUCAUCAAUUACCAAAAAGGGGGAGAUUGAAAGCACAAGUGCUCCCUAGGUGGUUUUGGUAAUUAAUGUCAAUAUAUCUCUUAUUGGACUAACACUUUUAUCUAGUAUAUUUCAGAUAAGUUCAACAUUAGAGUGGCAUGGACUAAAGGAUGUGGGAACUCCUUCAAGAUGCUAAGGACAAAGGAUUGGCUCAAGCUUCAAGCUCAAGACUCUUCAUUUUACAUUUCAGUGAUCCAAGAUCACAUUGAGUCUAUCAGAAAGCCAAUACUAUCAAGGAAGGAUGAGGUGUUGCUUAAUGAGCCUCUUGCUUCAUGUGCUUAGUGAUAUGCUCCAAAAACCCUCAACCACUUUCUCACAUCCACAUAUGUCCUAAACCUAAAGUCAAACUCGGCCCCACUGAUUCUUUCUAUCCGGCGCCACCGAGUUUUGAUGUCUUAGCCACUGCCACAAACCCUGGGCAAAUUGGUCUCACCGAUAGGGAUCUCGGUCUCACCGAGAUGGGAUUGUAAUCUCUCUGUGUAUGCCCAUUAUCAAAAUCGGUCUCACCGAGUUUGAGCAAUCGGUACUACGAGAUUACAAUGCAAACUUCCUGGUUGACUCAUUACCAAAAUCGGUUCCACCGAGUUUGAUAAUCGGUCCAACCGAGUUUGCCUGACCAACUCUCUGGUUAGCUAAUUACCAAAAUCGGUCCUACCGAGUUUGUGUAAUCGGUCUCACCGAGAUUACGUUAUGCCCUAACCCUAACCAUAUCGGUCCUACCGAGUUGCAUUUCAGUCCCACCAAAAAUCCUAACGGUCACUAGGUUUACUAAAUCGGUCCGACCGAGUCUGUCGAAUCGGUCCCACCGAGUUUGGUAAAUUGUGUGUAACGGUUAGAUUUUGUGUGGAGGCUAUAUAUACCCCUCCACCUCCUCUUCAUUCGUGGAGAGAGCCAUCAGACUAAACCUACACUUCCAACUUACCAUUUCUAAGAGAGAACCACCUACUCAUGUGUUGAGGCCAAGAUAUUCCAUUCCUACCAUAUGAAUCUUGAUCUCUAGCCUUCCCAAGUUGCUUUCCACUCAAAUCCUCUUUCUACCAGAUCCAAAUCCUAUGAGAGAGAGUUGAGUGUUGGGGAGACUAUCAUUUGAAGCACAAGAGCAAGGAGUUCAUCAUCAACGCACCAUUUGUUACUUCUUGGAGAGUGGUGUCUCCUAGAUUGGCUAGGUGUCACUUGGGAGCCUCCGACAAGAUUGUGGAGUUGAACCAAGGAGUUUGUAAGGGCAAGGAGAUCGCCUACUUCAUGAAGAUCUACCGCUAGUGAGGCAAGUCCUUCGUGGGAGACGACCAUGGUGGGGUAGACAAGGUUGCUUCUUCGUGGACCCUUCGUGGGUGGAGCCCUCCAUGGACUCGCGCAACCGUUACCCUUCGUGGGUUGAAGUCUCCGUCAACGUGGAUGUAUGAUAGCACCACCUAUCGGAACCACGCCAAAAACAUUCGUGUCUCCAAUUGCAUUUGAAUCCUCCAAACCCUUCCCCUUACAUUCUUGCAAGUUGCAUGCUUUACUUUCCGCUUCUCAUAUACUCUUUGCCUGCUUGUUUGCUAUGUGUUGUGAAUGUUAUACUUGUGCCUAAACUCCACUUAGUUUUAAAAAGGCUAUAAACUGCAACUUUGGUACUUAGUGUCUAAUCACCCCCCCCCCUCUAGACACCUCUUCUCAAGGUCCUACACACAUCAAAAAAUUCCCACCGGUAAUCGUAUCAAGGACAAAUCUAUACCAAGUGGUGAUGCCCACAUAAAAGCAACAAAGAAGAACAAGGGUAGAUUGCUUGUGAAUAGAUCUAUUAUGAGCAUUGCAAAUCCUAUACCAAGAAUCUUUUAAACUUUAUCCUCCCCUUUGUUUAAAGUUGAGAACCUCGUUCUUGGGGGUGCACACAAUAGAAGAAGAGAAAUCCAUAACGACAAAAGGUGAUAAGCAAUUUUGCACACGGGAAACAGAUCUGACGAGAAAACUGCGAACAAAAAAGAGGGCGAAUAAAAUGGCAAAUUUUGUGAAGUGGGGGAGAGGAAAACGAGAGGCAAAUGGCAAAUAAUGUAAAUUGCGAGGAGAUAAGAUUUGUGAUUAGGAACCUGGUUAGUGUUGAAGAUCCAACCCGGCAACGGCGCCACAAAUUCCUUUUGAUGUCUGCUAGAACUACGUCAGUAUUUCCCCAAAGAGGAAGGGAUGAUGAAGUAUAGCAACGGUAGGUAUUCCCCUCAGUGAUGAGCCCAAGGUUAUUGAACCAGUAGGAGAACCUCCUCACACCACGUAAACAGCACCUGCACACAAAUAACAAAUACUCGCAACCCGAUGUGUUAAAGGGGUUGUCAAUCCCUUUCGGGUACGUCGCCUCUAAUGGGCAAAUAACGUGAGGUAAAAAGUGGUAGAUAGGAUAAAUAGAUCGCGGAAAAAAUAAAUUGCAGCAAGGUAUUUUUGUAUUUUUGGUUUAAUAGAUCGGAAAAUAAAUGCAAGAGAAAAUAGAUUGCAAAGGCAAAUAUGAUGAAAAGAGACCCGGGGGCCGUAGGUUUCACUAGUGGCUUCUCUCGAGAAAAAUAGCAAACGGUGGGAAAACCAUUACUGUUGGGCAAUUGAUAGAACUUCAAAUAAUCAUGAUGAUAUCCAGGCAAUGAUCAUUAUAUAGGCAUCACAUCAAAGAUUAGUAGACCGACUCUUGCCUGCAUCUACUACUAUUACUCCACACAUCGACCGCUAUCCAGCAUGCAUCUAGUGUAUUAAGUUCAUGAGAAAAUGGAGUAAUGCAAUAAGAACGAUGACAUGAUGUAGACGAUAUCCGUUUAUCUAUUGCGGCAGAUAUAGAUCUCAUCUUGUUAUCCUUAGUAGCAAUGAUACAUACGUGUCGGUUCCCUUUCUGUCACUGGGAUCAAGCACCGUAAGAUCGAACCCACUACAAAGCACCUCUUUCCAUUGCAAGAUAAAGAGAUCAAGUUGGCCAAACAAAACACAAAUAUCGGAGAAGAAAUACGAGGCUAUAAGAAAUCAUGCAUAUAAGAGAUCAAAGAAGACUCAAAUAACUUUCAUGGAUAAAAACAUAGAUCUAAUCAUAAACUCAAAGUUCAUCGGAUCCCAACAAACACACCGCCAAAAGACUUACAUAAUAUGGAUCUCCAAGAGACCAUUGUAUUGAUAAACAAGAGAGAGAAAGAGAGAGAGAGAGAGAGAGAGAGAGAGAGAGAGAGAGGAAGCCAUCUAGCUACUAACUACGGACUCGUAGGUCUACAAAGAACUACUCACACUCAUAGGAGAGGCACCAAUGGAAGUGAUGAACCCCUCCAUGAUGGUGUCUAGAUUGGAUCUUGGUGGUUCUGGACUCUGCGCUGGCUGGAUCAAUAUUUCGUCGACUCCCCUAGGGUUUCUGGAAUAUUUGGGUAUUUAUAGAGCAAAGAGGCGGUUCGGGGGACACCCGAGGUGAGCACAACCCACUAGGGUGCGCCUGGGCCUCCUAGUGCGCCCUGGUGGGUGUUGCUCACCUCGAGUAGCCCCUCAGGUGCUUCCUUGGCCCAUUGGCUUUCUUCUGGCCCAAAAAAUCCUCCAGGAGUUGCAUUGCAUUCGGACUCUGUUUGAUAUUGAUUUCCUAUGAUGUAAAAAAACAUGCAGAAAACAACAACUAGCACUAGGCACUAUGUCAAUAGGUUAGUACCAAAAAAUGAUAAAAAUGACUAUAAAAUGAUUGUAAAACAUCCAAGAAUGAUAAUAUAACAACAUGGAACAAUCAAAAAUUAUAGAUACGUUGGAGACGUAUCAAAGUACUAGGGUUAAUGAGUUGGAUCACUUUAUCAAACAGAAUUCCGCCUCACCAUGAGAGGAUUAUCUAACUAGAGCUAGUGGAAAUCGAGGCGUCCUCCUAGAUAUUGAUGUUUUCGCAAUUGCUAGUACGCCAAAGACAACCACUUUUGAAAGUUUGUAUGCCCAUGACGAUGUUAUGCUAAGUUAAGGAAGUGUUUGCCUUUGUCUGGCCUGUUAGAUGUGAUGUGUGGAAAAUAAUUUGCCUUCACAACCUAGUGCAAGACUCCAAAUUUUGCAAGAGCUCCAAACUUGUUUAGCUCCAUCUUAGGAAGAUAAAUUGAAUGAAGAUCAUGAAAACUGAGAUCGCCUUCUUUCUUUGGCAAACAAAGCUUCCAUCAUGCCAAUGAAUGAUGUUUUCUUGCCAUUUUUGUCACCUCCCCACCAAAAUUGCGACAUCACACCCGACAUUUGCUUGCAAACCCCUUUAGGGAUCCUAAACACCAACAUUGCAUACAUCAAAAUUGACUGGGCUAUGGCCUUAAGUAACACCCAAGCUAAAAGCUUAUUUCACUCCCACCUGCUUAUUUUUGUUUGAUUAUUUCAACUAGAUGCUUAAAACAAUUACUCAUAUCCCCCACUAGUGCAAGAAACCCAAAAUAUUUGUCAUACAAAGCUUCGUUAUCAACAUAAGUUGAAUAAUGCCCGUUCUCAUAUCCACAUCUGUGUUUGGGGCUAAAGAAGAUACUUGAUUUGGAAUAACUCACAAGUUGCGCUAACUUUACACAGUUGAAAGUGUGUUACGUCGACUAGAGGGGGUGAAUAGGCGAUUUUUAUGAAUUCUUCACUGAGGAAUUUCAGGGUGAAGAAAUUCCUAAGUAAAGAACUACUUGCAGCAGAAUAAGUACUCAUGUAUAAGCAUAACAGAGCAACAGCAUAGUCUUCAUGAUGAAAUGAAAGACAAAACACAGAGUACAGAAAGCGUAAACACAGGAAAAGCAAGAUGAAGACAAACUGACUAAAGAAAUAUGAUUGAGGAAUUAGAGAAAAUCUUCAGUCAAAGUCUUCACACAGUAAUGAUCAGGUUCAUCAACACAUAACAGAGCAAAUGAAAGGGUUGAGGAAAUAGGACCAGUAGGCUCGGUGAAGACAAUGAUUUGGUCGACCAGUUCCAACUGCUGUGAUAGUUGUACAUCUGGUUGGAGCGGCUGAGUAUUUAAACUCGAGGACACACAGUCCCGGACACACAGUCCUCACCGUAUUAUCCUUGAGAUAAGAUCACGCAAAUCUCGCCCAACAGUAGUGGUAAGUCUUCACAGGUGACUUCCAAACCUUCACAGACUUGGUCACUCGGUGAUCCACAAUUCCUCUUGGAUGCUCAGACCAUGACGCCUAACCGUCUGGAGGAUACACAGUCCUCAAAGGUAACAAGCGUCGGUUCCACGCAGGAACAAUCUCUUUAGUGAUGCUCAAUCACUUUGGGUUUGUAGGUGUUUGGGUUUGGGAUUUGGGUAUUUCCUCACUUGAUGAUUUUCGCUCAAAGUCCUUGGAGGAUAGGAUGCUCUCAAAUGACAAGUGUCAGUUUCUCUCGGAGCAGCCAACCAGCUAGUGGUUGUAGGGGGCGGCUAUUUAUAGCCUAGGGAGCAACCCGACAUGAUAAGACAUAAGUGCCCUUGGCUGAUAUGACCGUUAGGUGGGUAGAUAUUUUGGGACAACUGGCGCAUAUCACAACAACGGUCGAAUAUUUGAGGUUCGAAUUCCUCAGGGCUAUCAUGUUCCUCACUGUGUAGGCAAUUCGCACUGGCUAAUUCCUAACUCCUUGGUCAGAACAAAUUCCUCAAAGACCAGAAGAUCUUCGUCUCUAUCACUGAAGAAAUUGAUUGAACUGAUAUGAGAUUUCCAAUGGCUUCACUCGAAGGAUUGGGUAGGUGUAGGAUUUUGAGAUGAGCAUCACAUGGAAAUCAGUUUCCUUAGUAUUACCUCGACCCCCUUUAACAGUACGGUGUUUCCUAUGACUCAAGAAGAAGAAAACGAAACUAUGAAAACAAAAGUCUUCGCGCUUCAUAAUCCUCGCAUGAAUAUCCAAAUCUUCAAGGUCACACCAAUUUCUUCAUUUUCAAAGUCUUCAGAAGAACCAAAGUCUUCAGACGAAGACAUUCAUUUUUAGGGGUCGACUUUCACUGUAAAUAUCAAACUCCUCAUCGACUUAUAGAGCCUGUGUACACUCACAAACAUAUUAGUCCCUUAACCUAUAAGUCUACAAUACACCGAAAUCACUAAGGGGCACUAGAUGCACUUACAAGAGUAGGUGUCCAAAACUUGCUAUAGAGAAGUUGCAUUUACGUAUCCAUUUUUCAUGAGCAUUAUGGAAUCAUCAGGGAAUAAAAGAAGAGGCAUUGAUGGUGCAUUCAUGCACACCCUAACCACAUCAAUGCCACCAACUUCUUCUACAAACAACUACAUAUUGCAAAAAACAGAAGGUAAUAAAGGAUUGCCUUGGUAAAGGCCUCUACUGGAACAAAGUCCUCGGUCUUUUGAGAACUAAGCCUGACAUCACAACUUCACAAGUAACAAAAGAUAUACAAGCCAUAAUAGGUCCACCCAUUGGUCAUGGAACCCCAUUUUAACCACCAUGCCUCUCAAGAAAGACACUCUCUACUCUAUCAUAUGCCUUGUGCAUAACCAACUUUACUACACAAAAACCAUCUUUGCCUCUUCUCUUAUUCUUAGUUGUACAAAUACUCUCAUAAGUGACCAAAACAUUAUAAAUAAUUAACCUAGCAAGCACAAAUGCAAUCUGGGUCGAGGCACUAAUAUAUGGAAGAAUUUUCUUCACUCUCCCCAAGCAUCUUGGGAAUUAUUUUCAUGUAACAUUGUGCGGGCUAAUCGGUUGGUGCUAGCUGAUUAGUUUUGGUGUAUUAACCUUUGUACGUAGUACAAAUUGUAGAAUUUCUUCAUUUUCAAAGUCUUCAGAAGAACCAAAGUCUUCAGCCGAAGAUAUUCAUUUUUAGGGGUCGACUUUCACUGUAAAUAUCAAACUCCUCAUCGACUUAUAGAGCCUGUGUACACUGACAAACAUAUUAGUCCCUUAACCUAUAAGUCUUCAAUACACCAAAAUCACUAAGGGGCACUAGAUGCACUUACAAGAGUAGGUGUCCAAAACUUGCUACAGAGAAGUUGCAUUUAAGUAUCCAUUUUUCAUGAGCAUUAUGGAAUCAUCAGGGAAUAAAAGAAAGAGGCAUUGAUGGUGCAUUCAUGCACACCCUAACCACAUCAAUGCCACCAACUUCUUCUACAAACAACUACAUAUUGCAAAAAACAGAAGGUAAUAAAGGAUUGCCUUGGUAAAGGCCUCUACUGGAACAAAGUCCUCAGUCUUCUGAGAACUAAGCCUGACAUCACAACUUCAUAAGUAACAAAAGAUAUACAAGCCAUAAUAGGUCCACCCAUUGGUCAUGGAACCCCAUUUUAACCACCAUGCCUCUCAAGAAAGACACUCUCUACUCUAUCAUAUGCCUUGUGCAUAACCAACUUUACUACACAAAAACCAUCUUUGCCUCUUCUCUUAUUCUUAGUUGUACAAAUACUCUCAUAAGUGACCAAAACAUUAUAAAUAAUUAACCUAGCAAGCACAAAUGCAAUCUGGGUCGAGGCACUAAUAUAUGGAAGAAUUUUCUUCACUCUCCCCAAGCAUCUUGGGAAUUAUUUUCAUGUAACAUUGUGCAGGCUAAUCGGCCAGUGCUAGUUGAUUAGUUUUGGUGUAUUAACCUUUGUAACUAGUACCAACUGUAGUAUGGCUCCAACUUUCUAGAAUAAGCUUAUUAUUGAUUACUACAAGAACUUCAUAGGUGAUCUCCCCCCGGUGGGAUGAUAAACCUCUUGAAAAUAUGGCGGGUAGGACGUCGGUCCCAAGGGUCUUUAGACCUCCAAUACUAAAAGCAUCAUUCUUCACAUCAUCUGUCCAGAACAGGGCUAACAUGUGGUUAUUCAUAUCCAAUGUAACUCAGAACGCAAUCUUAUGAAGGAUAGCAGGGUCAGUACCAAGGACUUUCUAGGAAAAAGGAUGACGCAAAUAAUCCCAAAUAAGCAGGCUUAGUAGGUCAUGACCUCCCAUCCAACUAUCUUGUUCUCAGUUUUAUGAUGUGAUUGCGUCUCUUCCUCUAUGAUGUGAAACCAUGGAAAAUUUUGGAAUUCCGGUUUUUCAACCAGUUCACACCAGCUCUUUGUCGCUAGUAGAUCUCCUUUUGUUCAAGCAACUUUUCAAUUUCACUUGUGAUUUCCUCUUGCUUCACUCCAUUCUCAUGUGUCUUUGGGCCUCACAUAACCCUUUCGAGCGCUCACUGCACCUUGUGUAAAUGUUUAUGUGGUUUCUUCAGUAACAAGAUGCUUAACUCAUGAAACCCAACAUAGAGGUGACCUAACUUGGGCAACACGCCGCCGGUAGACUCACAUGUACUAGCUUAUUCCCAGGCAUCUGAUAUGACAUCAACAAAACUGACUUCUAGAAGCCGACACAUCUCAAACCUCUUCUUUCUAUUACCAUUUAGUAUUCUAGCAUAGUGAUCCUUAUCAGGCAAUAAUGGCCGGUGAUCCGAAGCAUUAAACCCCAUGUUCGUAAUGGCCUCUACGGGGAAUAAUUGUGAUCACCAACUUUCAGUAGCUACCCCGCGAUCCAGUCGUUCACGUAUAGCUCCGCAUGUCCACCUAAACUCGUACCCAACAUAUCUGAUAUCCUUGAACUCGCAAUCAUCCAACACAUCAUGAAACGAUUGCACGUACAGUUGUGGGUGAGCGCCCCCAUGGGAAUUGAGGAUUUCAUUGAAGUCCCCCAUAAAUAACCAAAGUAGGCCAUGUUGCACUUUCAGCUCUCUCAUAACCACAUUUGUACUUUUCUGCCUAGUUGAACUUUACGUACAUACACACAAAACAUCAUACCUUAUCAACAUACUACGUGAUCCAUUCGUCGUACAUACCUAGAAAAUGCCAUACCUUAUCAGCAUGUUUCGUGAGCCAUACAUCAAUGAGGCAGGAUUGAUCCAUAAUGUCGAAGGUCUGCUUGCAUAGUUCAUGAUUAUACAUGGCCCACGUCUGAAGGUCUGAAUGUAUGCCUCUUCUCUUAUUCUUCGUUGUACGGAUACUCUCAUAAGCGACUAAAACAUUAUAAAUUAUUAUGCUAGAAGGAAUAAAUGCACUCUAGGGCAAUGCAAUAAUAUCUAAAGGAAUUGUCUUCAAUCUCCCGCGAGCAUCUUGGAGAUUAUUUUGUAUGUAACAUUGCAUAUACUGGGUGAUUAGUUUUGGUGCAUCAACUUUUGGAGCUAGGACAAAUUGUAGUAUGGCUCUAUUUUUCUAGAAUAAGCUUAUUAUUAAUUGUUGCAAGAACUUCAUAGGCGAUCUCCUCCCCAAUGAGAUGAAAAACCUCUUGAAAAAUAUGGCGUGUGGGACAUUAGUCCCAGGAACCUUUAGAUCUCCAACACCGAAAACAUCAUUCUUCACAUCAUCUGCCCAGAAUGGGGCUACCAGGUGGUUAUUCAUAUCCUGAGCAACUCACAACACAAUCCUAUCCAGGAUAGCAUGGUUAGUACCAAGGACUUUCAAUGAACAAAGAUGAGAACAUAAUCCCAAAUAAGCAUCCUUAGUAGGUCAUUACCUUCCAUCCAACUAUCCUGACCAUUUUCUAGUUUUAUGAUGUGAUUACGUCUCUUCCUCUUUGACGUGAAACCAUGAUUUUUUUGGAAUUCCAAUCGUUUUUCUUCAAUUAGUUCCACAAGCCAUUUACCACUAGUGGAUCUCCUCUUGUUCAAGCAUCUUUCCAGUUUCACUUGUGAGUUCCUCUUUCUUCACUUUAGUCUCAUGUAUAUUAUAGGGACACACAUCACCCUUUAGAUCUCUUGUCGAACCUUAUGCAAACUUUUUGUGGUUUCUUCAGUAACAUGUUGUCACACUCAUGAAGCCCAGCGCAGAGGUAACCUAACUUGGGCAGCACGCCACCAGUGGACUCAUGUAUACCCGCCUACUCCAAGUCACCUGAUACGACAUCAGCAAAACUGGCUUCCAGAAGCCAGUACGCUUCAAACCUCUUCUUUCUCUGAGUACCAUUUAGUUCUGUAGCAUAGUGAUCGGUGUCUGGCGGUAAUGGUCGAUGAUCCGACCCAUUGAACCCCAUGUUCAUAAUGGCUGUUGUCGGGAACAAUUGUCACCAACUUUCUGUAGCUACCCUGCGAUCAAGGCGUUCGCGUAUAGCUCCACAUGUCUAUGUAAACUUGUCCCCAACGUAGCUGACAUCCUUCAGCUCACAAUCAUCUAACACAUCAUGAAACGCUUGCACGUACGGUUGUGGGUGAGGGUCCCCACACACCACUCACGAGAAUGGAGGAUUUCAAUGAAGUCCCCAAUAAACAAUUAAGGCAGUCCAUGUGGCACUUUCAGCUCUCAUACGUUUUCAUGCUUGUACUUUUUUUUGGGCAGCCGAACUCUCUAUACAUACCCACAAAACGGCAUACCUUAUCAACAUCUUACGUGAUCAAUUCACCGCACAUUCCCACAAAACGCCAUAACUUACCAACAUCUUCCAUGAUCCCUAUGUCAAUACGUCGCGUGUAUACCUACAAAAUGCCAUACCUUAUCAACAUCUUCCGUGAUCCAUUCUCCAUACACUCCCACAAAACGCCAUACCUUACAACAUCUUCCGUGACCCGUCUUCCGUACAUACCCACAAAACGCCGUACCAUAUCAACAUUUUACGUGAUCCGUGCAUCAAUAAGGCGGGACUAAUCCAUAAUGGCGAAGGCCUGCUUACAUGGUGCAUGUUUACACAUGGCCCGCGUCUCAAUGUAUGACAUGCAACCAAUAUUGCAUAGUCAUUAAGAAAAUCUUGUACACACAAAUGUACAUGCACAAAAAAAAUCAGUUUCUUUUUUGAGAAGUAAAAAUCAGUUUUUUUUUCGCAUUUGAAAUGCCUCCAUGGAGCCCAAGAUCCAUUAUGAUUUUUUCAAUUCCCACUUGAACGCAAGUUGACAUUCCUUUGGGCAGGAGACUCGGCUGUCUUGCCUGGCAUCCAAAUCCAAUCCAAAUCCCAAUCCGACCUGUUUAUUACGACCCUCCUUCUAUUCCUCUUCGCCUCUGACUCUGGCUGGGAUCUCUCAUCAUCCACCAACCAUCUACCCUGCCCUACUGCUCACCCACCAGCGCCCAGCUGCGAUCGCACCAGCUAGCCGCCUACUACUACUCCCACUUCCCCGCAAAGUCCAAGCGCGGCAGUCAAACGCGACGAGGAGGCGCGGCACGGCAGCCAAAUGCGCGCGUGAUCCCCGAGGGGCCGGCGAUCCGUGCUGACGGCGUGGGCGGCAAUGGGCCGCCGGAUCGACCUCUCCGGCGCGGAGAUCCGCGCCGACCCCGGCGACGGCAGCCCGCCCAUCUUCCUCCCCCGCCAGCCCGCCGCCUCCCCGCUCCUCGCCCUCGACAUCGGAGGUCGUACAGUAAUUCAUAAUUUUUAUAAGCUCCCCACCGCUUCUCUCCUUCUGAAUUUCGUCCUCGUGGUCGUUACUGCUGCUGCCGUCGCAGGGACCCUGAUAAAGCUGGUGUACACGGCGAGCUGCGGCGCCGAGGCGGAGCUGCGGUUCGCCAAGUUCGAGAGGCGGAGGCUGGACGACUGCUUCGACUUCGUCCGGGCCCAAGGCCUCCUCGGCUGCAACGGUACGUCUGUGCUACCUUCGCUGUCUGCUGCGCCGAAUUCGUUGGUUCUUCUCUGGCCCAUUUGGCUUCCUGGCACGGUUAAUCACGCAAUGUGGAGACUGGAGAAUUGGGUGACCCUGCUCCACUGGAAAAUAAGUAGGAUAGGAUGGCUUGAUCAGCAGCUGUUACUUGCUCGUGAGCUAGGGUGUUCUUCAGAGCAUUCAGAAGUUUGUUGCUGUCGACUUGUAGUUCAUGAUCAUCUCAUUUUAGGAAGAGGGGAAUCUAGAAUUUAGCUGUUGACAGCAGUUAACGGCAUUUGCAAUCGCUCUUCUCUGCGAUGCAAACACAGUGUUUUACUCUGUUUUCACUCUGUCAAGUUUCAGCUUCUGCCCAGCUAAAAAAAAGGUUUCAGCUUCUGUUGUUUGAUGAUUUAGUUAUGUGUUGGAGUUUUAUCUUUAUCGUGGGUUGAAGUGUAACAUUUUCAUGCCAGGGACAACGACAGGGCCAAGCAAAGAAAAUAUGACACUGAAGGUAUGCUUUGUUCUUCUUGUGUUAGCAAGUAGCAACGACCUUUUGGGCUUAUGACCCACAAGAUGAAUACAUUAAUAAAAAGGGAGAUCAUUUACGCAGUUAGCACUUGGAAGUAAUUAUCUAUUUAUUUGCCGUAACUUGUAUGGCAUGCUUUACCUCUUCUCUUACCCAAAAUGUAAAUUUUCAAAUGACACAUUCAUUCUGCACCAGUGUCUUGGACAGUUACAUGCGAUUUGGUUCGCUAUCAACAUCCCUGAAACUCUAUAAGAGUAUUUAUUAGUGCUCCUGUCAACAUCCACCAAAAUCAUUCUUACCAGUUACAAUUUAUUGUUAAAAAUAAUUCUUGAAAUUAAUUUUCUUGGACCCACGCUAUCGAUAAUAAAUACUUUUAUAGAGUUGCAGAAUAAAGUCUUGUCAUCAGGCGACAGAUUGUAACUGUUUUUGGUGCAUCAGGGAACACAGAUAUCACCUCCUGAGUUAAUACUUGGCAUACUUGUAGGCUUUAGCUGAGGCAAAUCCCUCGUUUAUUCCGCUGCCCCAAGUAUCAUAAUUGCAAACACAAGAAUGCCGAAUGAUGUGUAUUUGUGAAUUCUGAUUGCUUGAGUACAUACGAAAAUAUCUUAAAUGGAUAAUGUGGAGCGUAUUAAUGUCGGUUUGCACUUUGGCAAAAUCCACAUCCACUAAAAUCAUUCUUACUAUUUACAAUUUAUUGUUAAAAAUAAUUCUUGAAAUUAAUUUUCAUGGACCCAUGCUAUCACUAAUAAAUACUCCUAAAGAGUUUCAGGAACAAAGUUUUGCCGCCAAGCGACAGAGUGUAACUGUUUUUGGCGCGUUUAGGAAACAUAGAUUUCGCCCCUAGAGUUGAAACUUGUGCAUACUUGUAGCUGAGGCAAAACCCUCGGCAACUCGGCUGCCCCAAGUAUCAAUAAUUGCAAACACAAGAAUGACCAAUGUGUGCUUGUGAAUUCUGAUUUCCAUAUUGAAUAUACCUUUGCUUGAGAAUGUAGAACUUAAUAUUGUCUGUUUGUAUUUCAUCAAGCUUGUCAUUUUAUUUUGUAUUGUUUGAUUGUUAGCAGUAUGUUUUAUCUGAGGUGGAUUGUAAAAUAGCUUGACCAGAAUCGAUUGUAAUGGAGAUCAUUUGCAGGCAACAGGUGGUGGAUCAUAUAAAUUUGGUGAUGAUUUUCGGCAAAAAUUAGGUGUUAGUCUUGACAAGCUUGAUGAAAUGGACAGUGUUGUCUCUGGAGCAAACUUUUUGUUACAGGUGAGUUGUAAGCUACUCUCAUCAUACCACAUACCUUCUCAUUUGGAUUCUGAACUUUAAAAAUUCUUUCACAUUGUAACACUGCUUAAGAUAUGGUUCUUUCCGGUUAAUAUUUUGUAAGGUAUUACUGCAUUCUUGAUAUUUAGUUCUCAUUUAGAUCUGGUUUUCCAUUUAACUGAUGCUUCCUCGCAGAAUGUUCCUGGCGCAGCCUUCACACACAUGAGUGGAAAGAGGAACUCGAUUGAUAUUUCCCCAGAUAACUUGUUUCCUUACCUUCUUGUGAACAUUGGCUCAGGAGUUAGCAUAUUAAAGGUUGCACUUCUUCGUCAUCAUGAUUCUCAUAUGGAAAUACAGCAGAAUGCAGCUCAUAUAACCAUGUGUUAUCAAGUAUAAUGCAGGUCACUGGAAAUAGAAAAUUUGAAAGGGUAACUGGGACACAUAUUGGUGGCGGUACUAUGUUUGGGUUAGCAAAACUAUUAACAGGCUGCAAGAGGUAACGUGUUUCCUUUUGCAUCAUAAAUAUCUUGGUUUACAUAUUUUUCCCACUAAUAUAUUAUUAUUCUCUUAGUUAUGAUGAAUUCCUGCAAUUAAGCCAGAAAGGGGACAAUUUUGUACUUGAUCUAGUUGUGAAGGAUAUAUGCGGGGAGCUUGCCUGCCAGAAGGUUUGCUGUCACCCUCCUUGCCCUGUUGUUGCAGUUCUAUGUACUUGCCUUUUCUUUUGUGGUAGUUUUGCCAGGCCAGUAGUGCCCUAGUGUGUAGGUCAAUUUGGUCAGACUUGAAUAUUUGCUAGGAGAAUAUUGAUAGUUUCGAAGGGGAGCCUUGGCGCAGUGGUAAAGCUGCUGCCUUGUGACCAUGAGGUCACGGGUUCAAGUCCUGGAAACAGCCUCUUGCAGAAAUGUAGGGAAAGGCUGUGUACAAUAGACCCAAAGUGGUCGGACCCUUCCCCAGACCCUGCGCAAGCGGGAGCUACAUGCACUGGGGCUGCCCUUUUUAGAAUAUUGAUAGUUUCAUUGCUUGCUUACGAUUCUGUUACGACUUGGUGGUAUAAAUACUUAUUCUUACCUUGAAAUUGAAUUAACUUACUUAUCAAGAUUGCUUGGAAAGCAAUAUGGCUACUGGGAGCAUUGUGUUUAGAAUAAUUGAUGAAGCACAUUGAAAUCUUUAUGUUGACAAUAUUUAUAUUGUAUUAAAAUAAUUAAUUCUUUCGCAUAUCAUGAAUGAGCAUCGGUCCUUAUAGAUUACUGAUUUAUCCUUUCCUAAUAUGUUUCAGCAAGGACUGUCAACUUCGACUCUUGCUUCUAGCUUUGGAAAAGUUAUUACUUCUAUGAAAAAGCUAGCAGAUUACAAGCCUGAAGACCUUGCAUCCGCAUUGUUGAGUGCCUUUACUUACAAUAUUGCACAAGUGAGUUUAUGUUAUGUGCUUCUGCGUGUUAUUAAAUUGUACUUAUUGUCUCAGCUACUCAUAGCUGUUUACAUGGAUGGCACUCAACCUCGCUUUAUUGGAAGAAAAGAAAAGCUAAGAAGACAUGCUUGUUGAUCUGAAGAAGAAAUGCAUAGUAGUAUAACGACUUUUACUGGAGAAAAGAGGCAUAGGGUUUACUCAUUCUAUGUCACAAAGUGUUUUUUAUCUUAAGACAAACUGUUUCAGUAAAAGCAUUUUGAUUUUGUUUAAACGGCCUUAAGCAUGUUAUUAAUAGGAAUAAUAGCAUUAUAAGAAAGUACAUGUUAUGGGGUACUUUCACCGAAUGUUGCUUCCGUAGUCCCUGAUUCCUGCUAUAGAAAGGACUGAAGAGCCGUGUGGUUUCUCAGUCUGCUUCAUCUUCUCCAGCUUGGUAGCAUAGGCAUUUAUGGGGGCAUUAUGCUUCGAUUGAUCUCUCCUUUUUUUUUCUUUGCUUAGUAGUUGUAAAAGACAUUAUGGUUUCUGAUAAAUGAAACCAGAGGGGGAGCCCCUUAUAAAAAAAAGGGUACUUUCACGGUUUCCCCUAUUGGUGCUGGUCUAUUGUUGUCUAUUGAAAUAUGGGUUCAUAUCACACUCUUGGUAUGUGUCCUGCAGAUUUCUUUUCUUGUUGCAUCACUCUUGGGCCUCAGAAGGGUCUUUUUUGGUGGAUCAUACAUACGUGGACACAAGAGCACAAUGGAUAAUAUUUCUUAUGCACUAGACUUCUGGUGAGCAUUUUAUAUUUUCCAAAUGUAUUCCUCUUGGUGAGCAUCUGUUCAUAUAAAAAAAUAUAGACUGCUUGUAUUUAGUAGUAUAAGUUUGCUGUCCUUAAGAGGAUUCUAAAGAAACUCCUUUUUGUUUCUCACUGAAUGUUUCUACUCUUAUUUUAUCAACCUUGGAAAGAAUCUUAACAUUUGAGGUAUGUCAUUCAGGUCAGAGAGUCAAAUGCAAGCUUCAUUCUUGCAACAUGAAGGGUAUUUAGGUGCUCUUGGUGCCUUGAUGAGUUACGGGGAUCCCAGAGAUGAAAACUUGAACCUCGAGGAAUCUCAAGAGGUCAGCUCCUAUGAUGAUAUCCUUUAUAUGUUUAUCAUUUUCUUGCACACUACAAGAAACACGACAAGUUUGAGUAUCGUCUUUUAUUUAAGUAAAAUGCUUGUGCAUAAUGUGCACCAGUAGGAAAAAAUUUCACCCAUUUUCAAGUAAAUCAGAAGUGAAGGACUGAUCUACCAUUCCAUUUGUAUGGUUGUGGCUUGGACGCCACAACAAUAACACAUAAGAGUUUUUUAUGCAUAUAAGUCGUGUGAAUAGGCACGAUGCAGAAAUAAAUAAAUGUUAUUGUGGUUAGGGUGAUUUAUCUUUCCAAGCUUAAUUGUGGGUUUCCCCCACUGCUGUAGGAGAACAGUCAUGAGGCAGCAGGUCCUACUGAUGUGACAUCAGCAGACGAACAUAACGAUAGCAACAUAUUUCCUUAUCUCCUUGUUAAUAUUGGAUCUGGUGUCAGCAUGAUAGAGGUUAGCCAGUACACUGCUUUCAUUCUUUUUAUUAUUUGUGUACUAGCACUUUUAUCAGCAAAAAACAAUCUUGUCAGGUAAUUGGUAAGGGGAAGUUUGAGCGAAUUAUCGGAUCACAUCUGGGUGGUGGUACUAUCCUUGGUCUUGCAAGGCUUUUAACUGGCUGUUCAAGGUACUAUCGAUCUAGCUUGUGUGCUUAUAAGAUGUAGGAAUGUUCCUUGAUACAUGAUUAAACAAUCUCUAAAUUUCCUUGUGGCUUGUAGUUAUGAGGAAUUCUUGGAUUUGAGCCGGAGGGGUGAUAAUUUGGCUGUAGAUUUGACUGUUGGAGACAUUUAUGGGGAGCGUGGUUAUCCAAAGGUAUUUGAUCUAUACUCUGGAAGAAUAUAUUUUUCUGUGAGAUUUCUGCUAUAAUAAUAAUAUUAACAUUUAUUGCAGAAUUGAACAGCAGUCUCACCAGCUGUUGUACAGAUUUGAAGAUUAGUUUUAGGGCUUUGACAUGCUUAUCAUGGAAAUUGUGAAUCUAUGACACACAAGGCGAUCAGUAUGCCCAUUAAUUUUUCUCUCUUUACGCCAGAUUGGUCUUCCAGCUUCCACUACUGCAGCAAGCUUUGGAAAAGUGAACUCGGGCAAACUUUCAGAGUACAAAGCAGAAGAUCUCGCAGCAGCUCUACUCAACUCUUUCACAUACAACAUUGGACAGGUAUUUUCUCCGGAUAUUGGAAUUACCAGGCACCAUCAUGAAGUAUCCUCUGACGUGUUCUUAUUUCUUAUCUAGAUAGCCUACUUUGUGGCUAAUCUAUCAGGCCUAAAGAGAAUCUUCUUUCGAGGUGCUUAUGUCUGUGGUCAUGAGAAGACUAUGGACAAGAUUUCUCGUUCCCUCAAGUACUGGUAAGGAAUUUUCUACGUGGAUACCAUGCAAAAUAUCUUUGCAAUUGUACAGAAAAUUCUGCUAUCCAGGAACAGGAGAAGAAUUGUUGCACUAUGACCAGGCAAUUGAUAAUUGCUUCUCUCCUUUUGUUUUGCUCCCAGGUCCAAAGGUGAAGUUCAAACGACAUUUCUGUGUCACGAAGGGUUCUUGGGAACCUUAGGUGCAUUCUGGAGUUAUGAGAACAUGGGCAUUGAUGGCUUGGCAUCACAUGAAGUCAUUAGGGAAGUCUUGCUUGGUGCUCCGUACACCGGACAGUUCCCAUCUUCACCAUUGACUCCAGAGCAGGAAAAUGUAGGUGACACGGAGUAGCGAUCUAAUCAGAAUACCAACAUUCUCUUGAGCAGUCCAUUGUCAACCUCAGACACUUUCUCCUUCUCAUUGGCAUUUCACCUUGUAUAUAUGUACUUCUUUUAGGGGGGAAAUGUAAACGCUGAAGUUGAGGUGGAGAGGCUGCGGCGUGACAACGCGGUUCUGAAGUCCGAGCUUGAACGGUUACAAAGGGAGAAUGCAGAGCUGAAAGCCAAGUUAGUGAAAUCCGAUGAAGCGGCUACUUUGUAAUAAAUCAAUAAAAGGCUGAAGCAUGUCUUGCUGGUAAAAAGAAAUAACAAGAUGGUGAGAUGUGGGGGUGCAAACAGCCUCAACUUGUUGUAACCUGUAAUAGUCUUGGUGAUGGUUCAAAGGUUAUCUACAGAAAUAGAAUUCCCAUAGAUAGUUACUCCAAAUUAGGAUUGCUCAUAUAGUGAGCUCAUGUUGUAUUUUUAUUUUUAUUUUUAUACAGUGUGUUUGUAUCUAUUUCAGUUGUGUAGGCUUUAUUGUUGUCUUGUAAAUAUGGAAGCAGUACUCUAAAACUCUAAAGUAAUCAAUAAAAUCAGUUCUCAUAAUUUAUUGAUAAAUGUGUGUUGCACUUAAGAAUUGGAUUUCCCUGUUCCUCUUCCUGAAUCAAGAUUUUCUUUAAUAAAAAGAUAAGAGUUUUGGUGAAAUGCUGGCGUGAUACUAGUCGAGCAUUAUUUGUUUUUCUUUAACUCUACCCAUGGUCACUAGGACCCAGGGCAUUUUUUUUAAAGCGAGACAACAUGUGGAGACUGCACCUCGAACGUGGGAGAGAUAUCCUUCCCCUGAUUGUCCAAAAUGGAAGGAUUCCUGCGGGGUAAAUGAAGGAAAUAUUUAGCAGGGUGACCAACCCAGAUUGAACAUAUUAUGAUAAGAAAUAAUGCAUUAUUACAACCAUAAUAAAUUAUGCUAAACAGAAUAUCAUGCAUUGUCGAAGAUUGAUUCACUGCUGACUUUAUGAAGUACCACGAAGUCGUAAACAAUGACAAAUAAAGGGGUGGUGUUCGAAAGGAUCUCGUGUUGGAGACAAUAGAUACAUCGUGGUUUUACCUAGGUUUAGGGUCCUAUGGGUAAUAUCCCUACGUGAAUUGGCAUUUUACAAAGUAUGGAUUGGGUCCAUAGAAAGUUAGGUCACAUCAGCAUAGCCUCAUAGAAGGUGAUGAUCUUAGGCAAUUCCUGGCGAGGUCUUUACACAUGUUGACCCCUACUGGUAACAUGAGAACUAUCUUCAAGGCGACUCAUGAGGAAAAGAUCACCCGGACAUAGCAUGUCCAUCCUUGUCCCCCGAGUGUCCACUCUCGCACGACUAGUGCGGGUCACGGGGUGUGCGUAGGUGUCUCUAGACACUCUUUGGUUGUCUCUCCCGUAGGGUGUACCCCGUACAUUAUUACUCAUUGACACAUAUGUGUCUAACAUCUUUAAUCAUCUUCAAUUUGUGAACGAAUAAGUGUUAUGCUAUAUCCAAAAUUCCUAUCUUAAUUAUCAUACAUGCGUGGCAAUAAUUAUAUGUGAUUUGUUUGAUCACAAAGGUAUGCCAGGGUCACCAUGGAUCUCUAGAGACAAUGAUUUACCCAGGCCCGAGCCCUUUUGGGAUGGGUAUAGCCCUAUUCGUGCUUUGAUUGGAUUAUAUCUCGAGAUAGAUCAAUACAAUUGUGGUUACAAUGUGGAAACCUAGCGAGUUGAUACACAACUGGACGACUACGAUGGACGAAAUAGGCGAGGUGCUAUGGAUCACUAGGGCUUUUGUCCCUCUUGAAAAUUAUGGUUGUGUUGAACCUGGUGGCGCUUCGUCCUCUUGCAUGGGUUUGCUAUCCUAUAUAUACCGACGACAUAUUAUGGAUCGAAGAACGCUUCUGAGGGUCACAAGCAAUGAAUAAGAUACUCACAAGGCUAUUAAACCUCGAGACAUAUGAACAAAAGAUUGAGUUGAAAUUUAAGAAUCACAAAAUGAUUCCCUUUAUUCUUGUUCAUAUAUAUAUGCAUGCCACACAUCCAUGGAUGGAACAUGCUUAUUCAUUCAUGAGAGACGGAUCUAUCCAUCUUUAUAUGUCCAAACCGAGGCAGUAUGGGGUGUUGUGAACGGUCAUCACGUUGCAGUGCCCCGGCGUAACGAGCACCUUGGCGAAGUCCCUCUGGGGCUCCCUGGGGCAUCCGGGAAGGUCCUUGAGCACGCCGGAAUUGGGAUCAGACGUCCGCCCUAUGAAGUAGCGCACCGCCUCGCACCGGCAAUGCUGCGAGGCGUCGUAAAGCUCCUUGC